rnacentral:lncRNA from 1 species
UACUCAAUUUGAAAAUUAACUAUAUAAAUUUUCAAUCUUCAGGAGGAAAGUAAACAAAUAUUAAUUUUCAAUUUUCAGAAUAUGGGGCAUGAAAAAACUCAAUAGCACAGAACACUACUUCAGCCUAAGAAAUUAGGAAUUAAAAUAAUUUAAGAAGAUGCUUGUUUAAGACAAUUGCAGGUCCUAUAAAGUGGCUUAGAAACUCUCGCGCGCCAUGUGAAUAUCUGGCACAUGAAUAUGCGACCGAUCAAGCACAGAUAAUGACAUAAUGGAAACAAACUAAGGCUCCAUUACAGAAUGAGAAAAGGUCUAUGAUUUGUAGAAAGUUGGAUUAGCAAAGCGCUUGAUACCAUCAUUCAACUAAUUUUAUGGCCUGACCAUCAGUGAUACAAUGAAACAAAUACUUUCUAUAAAGUCAUAAGUUUCUGGAUAAAGCUAAAUGGUUUGAAAGGUUUGAAAUAUACUUGAAAGCAGGCAAACUGUCGACAAUUAUGCUUUUAGACUCAAAAUACAGAAAGAAAUUUGGUAAAGGAGAAACAAACGGUACAGAGAAUGAACAGUUGAAACACUCAAACACCAGUCAUCAGUAAGAUAGAGAUGGACGGGAAAAGGAGUACCUUAAUGAUACACAUGCGGCUGCCAAUUCCGGCUUGGGCACUUCAUAGGGUAUCGCCUGUUGUAGUUUGAUAGACCGCUUGUGGCAUACAAUAGUUUACCCAUCAGCUUCAUCAUUCUCUCCCCUUCUUAAGGGAUCAGUUCUGUAAGUCACUCUCAAUCCAGCAGCAGAGUAGGAACCUGAGGCCAUGUCUUCUCUCCUUGGAGGUGGCAGAUAUGGGUCCAAAGAUGAAGCACCAUAAUAGCUUGUAGGAAUCGAAGGCUGUAGCUACAGGGAAAAACUCUGAAUAGCUGUUCAUGUCUGGAACCCACAUAAUAAGUCUGAUAAUCUCUCUCAGCCAAGUACAGAGGAUCAGCAGGAGCAAGUCCCUUGGAUAGAGUGAUGGUGUCACCAUAUAUGGAAUAUGGGUAUCUUAGAAGGUGUUGUUGCCCUCUUCAUGGCCUCUCUGGUACCUGUCUAAAGAAGCAUCAGUGUGAAUUAGCAGCCAGGCUCUUCCUCUCUCUCUAAAGACCAGAAGCACGAUACUCUUUCCAGUAAUGUAUAUAUCAAGGGGAACUUCCUCUCUUAGUGCAGAUCCUUUAAAUAUACAAUACAUGAUUGCCCUUUCAGGAGAAAUUCGAUUACAUCUCCUAGAACUAGCAUUAGAAUAUGGAUCUCUAGCAAAUAUUUCCCGGUUUGACUCUCUUACAAGUGCAUAAACUUCCCUAUUUUAAGCUCUUGGCAGGGAAGCAGAGAAUAGGUAAUGCAGUUGCAUGGGCUGCAACAGGUCGGAAAAGUUCUGAGAGCUUCCUAACCUGAAAAGAAAAUUUUAAAAUAUCAUAAAUUCAUGGAAGAAGCUUGAAAUAUUAUGAAUUCAAGGAUAUAAGAUGAAAUGGUCACCAAACCACUGAAGGAAAUACAAAAUUUCUACCUGUCUGGGAGUAAGCUCAAUUUUGAACUUGUGUUUUUCAUCAUAAUUUUUCUUAAUAGCCUUAUUGAAUACGCUUUCAGGGAAAGAAGACAAUCCCCGUGGACAUUAAACGGAUCAAAAGUUGUCAGCACAAAGAUGUGGCUAAAUUUAUUAAAGAAGUGAUAAACAACUAUAGAACUUAACCUGAGCAAUAAAGGCCAUGGCACAAGCUUUCGGCUCAAAAGAGGAUGCCUUGUAAAUCCCAUACAUAAGCUUGAGAUCAAAAUCAUAGAGAAAAGUAUAUCAAAAAAAUAUACAAAAAAAUCAUUACGAAAAGGCUUAAGCCCAGGUUUGAUAGCCAGCAGAAGAUAUUUCAUUUGAGCAUACGAAUAUAUUUGUCACUUUAUUAACAAAGUAAGUAAGUGACAAUGAGUGUAGUUGAAGCAUGGAAAUUGUGUCAAAAACAAAAAAAUAUGAACCACGACCACCUUUUCUAUGAAAAAUCUUCUGGGUUCCCCAUCUCCAAAUCAACACAAAACCAGAUCUCAAAAUUUUCAAGAACAGCAACGUGAAUUUUCAGUCAAUAAGCCAAGAUGAGAAAUUUAUGACUCUUCUUCAACUCUCUCUUAAUUAAAAGAGACCACUCUACUGUAUAGAGAGAGAGAGACAGAGAAAAAGAAUGUUAUAUGUAGUUUUCUUUGCUUUUGUAAUAAUUUUGCAGUUAUUACUGCAAGGAGAAGAUAACCACGAAGGAGUUUCCACGAAAAAACUAGACAUUAAUCACAUUUUGUUUGGUUAGUGCCCGAAAUUCUGAACCCAGAAAGUAAAAUAUUAAAAUUAUAUAACAAUAAUUUUAUUAUUAUUAUAUUCUUAUUCAUUAAUAGAAUAUUGUAACUUUAAAUCUAGCUGCAGCAAUACCGUAAUGGAAUCAAAGAGAGCAGAAAAUUUCUUGUAAAAUUAAUUAAUCAAUAAUUUGAGCUUCUUUAGUUCUUUUCCUCAAAACGCAGCAUUUAAUUUGUUGGUUGUCCUACCAUUCAAUUCAAUAAUUCAAUGGACCACGUCGCACGCUGCAAUUUGCUUUUAAAAGCAAGAGAUGAAUUUGAUGAUCAACUCUCACAGCUGGCUAUUAGCCUAGAAAUAUGCUCUGCUAUUUUUUUUAUUUUUUGGUGGCUUCUGCAGGCUGUCUCCAACUCAAAAACUUUCAUUACUUAUGCAAAAGGAGAAAAAAAAAAAAGCCAUAUUAAUUUGUUUCCGAUUUUCAUGAUAUGGUCUUAAUAUAGAAAAUCUGAGAUUAUUUGCCCAUGACAAUUUGCCCCAUUCACAAUUUUUUUUAUUAAAUUAAUAAAAGAAACACAAAAAUCUCAAAAACAAAGGUGUGUUUGGUAUCGUUUCGUUGUUUUUGAAUUUUGUUUAGAAAAUAAGAAGGAUUAGUUUUUUGGUAAAAAUGAAAAUGUAUUUGGAAGUUUAUCUGAAAAAUAUAAAUAGUGAAAAUGUGUUUUAAUAUAAUUUUUUAUAAAAAAUUUUUAGAAUAGUUAAAUUAUAUUUAUAAAUUUUAGAUUUAUCUUUUCGUUAUUUUAUAUAUUUUGCAAAAUUGAAUAACAAGUAAAUAAUGUAAUAAUAAUUAUUGGUAUCAAAUUAUGACUAGUUUUAUUUUUUAUAUUAUUUCAAAGUUUUAUUAAAUAAAAUAUUAUAUACUAAUUUAUAUAAUAUCCAUGAUUAUUUCAACAAAAAUUAAUUAUUAUUUUAUUUAUGCAUAAACAUAACAAAAUCUACCGUGUAUUUAUCAUGUAAGUUCCAUGUUUGUAUUUAAUACUUUUGGGCCUACAAUUUUUUUUCACAGAAAAAGAUUACAAAAGUCACAAAAGUAUGGUCCCCAUACAUUUAUGUAUACAAGAUAUAAAAAAAUUCAGAUAACGCUAAUAAUGUGUUUUCUACAUUUGUUAAGAAAAGUUAAAGAAUGAAAAUAUUUCAUUCUCGACAAUUUCUUAUUAUCACUAUGAAACACUCCUACCAAACGCUUUUUUUUUAAUUAUUUUUAUAAAAUAAAAUGUUCAAUAAAAAAUGGUACCAAACACAUCCUAAAUUUCAAGGUCAUGAGACAUUCAAAUUAACAAAUUCAAAACGCCAUGGAACAGUUGCAAAGUGUUGCUUUACUAGCAUGCUAGCAAGGCUAAUGAGUAAACAAAAUCACAAUAAGUAAAAGUGAUUCAAUUGAAUCCUCUAUUCUUAUCCUCCAAUGAUCUCAAAAAGAGAGUAAGUGAUAGGAUGAAUGAAUCUAACUUAUCAAUUAUAUAAAAUAAAGCCUUGAAGCUCAAUACUUACAUAUUGCAUGGGUGAAAGUCUAUUUAGUCCUAUAUUUUAAGAUUAGUGUUCCUCUGUAUUUUAAAAAUACCUCGGUUAAAGUAUUGACAGUUAAUUGACAUUAAGCAAGCACCGUUUGCACACUUGGUAGUUUGCAUACAAUUUUUGACAAUCCAAACAAACCAAAAAAAAAAAAUAACGGUUAUCAAUUUAACGGCAGGGAAGUUUCUAAAUGGAUACUUAUCUUAAACUAUAAGAACUAAAUGAGCUUUUACCCCAUAUUGCAUAGUAACCUUAUUACCUAUUGAUAAGAAUGAAGUGAAUAUUCAAAACAAUCAGUUAAUAAUUGAUUUUUUCUAUCUCAAUUAGUGAUUAAGAAAAGCUGAUUGUUAAUUAGCAUAAAAAUUGACUGACUCAAUCUUUGUUAAUCUAUCAUUAUUCGCUCAUAUCAAUUGUAUUAUUUUCUUUUUCAUGUUUUAAAUGCUUAUAUAAAUGAGUCUUUGUGCUCAUGAAUUAACAAGAGUGAAGUUUAUAUUGUUUUUAAAAAGUUCUCACCUAUAGUAAUAUGGUGGGUUCUGUGUACGAGAGAAAUGAAUUAUACUGUAGCACUGUUUAGCCCAUAGAAGUGCAGUGGUAGAAUCCUCAAAAUCUUUUUUUUUUUUAAACAUUUGAUUUACAAUUUCUAUAACUUUUUCCAAUUGCCAAGUUACUAAUUGCAUCAUAGUGCAAGGAGGGAUAUCUGUGUGCUUGUUAUGCCCUAUUUGUGGGGAAAAAUUAAAAGAAAAAAAAAAUAAAUUAUAAGAGUCGACAAUCGAACACCACUGCCUCAGGGUGAGGCCCAGCAGCAGAAACUGUAGCUGAAUAUGUAGGGGAGAAAUAGGCAAUGGAAUGCCGCAUUAUUAUAUUGGUUUACCUAAACAAAGAAACGAUACUCAAACGUCAAAGUGGGCUGCAGCACCGUAAUGGAAUCAAUGAGAGAAUAAGUAACAGGGUCGUUUAGGCUUAGCUUCUUUUUUUUGAAAAUUUCUUUUAUUUUUCCCUUCUUUGUUAAAAAUUCUUUUAUUUUUCCUUCUACCAAUCAAUUAGGCUAGGUUUCCUUUUCUUGCAAACUAAUUAAAUAAUUCGAUGUAACAAUUAGUACCAAGUUUAAUUGGUGAUGGGCAUAAUAUAUUAACAUAUUUCCUCUCUAUUUUUAUAUUAGUUAGUCUCUUUUAUUUAUAUUUUUAGAUGGUUAAUUUAUUUAUUGAAGAUUAUGGAAUAAAUUGUGCUUAAAGAAAUCAAAUUGGAGAAAAGCCAAAUAUUAUUUUGAUUUAUUAUUAAUGGGCUCAUGGCUAAAUGAAAUUAAAUUUAUUGGACUUAAUUGUUAUAUUUAUAAGUAGACAUAAAUUGAUUUCGAUUUGUCUUUUAAAAUUAGGAAUUGAUUAAUAAUUAAAUAAUUGUUAAGUUGAAUUGUGUGGUAGAUUCUUAAAUACUGGUAGCCUUAAUCUCUUGAAUUCUUAAUUUGCUUGCAUAUUUACUUGUAUCUUUAGUUCUAAUUUUCUUAAACAAAAUAUUUUCUUUCUAUGUAAAGGUAUAAUUAACUUAUAUUAAAUUUUACUUUCCUAAAAAUUAACAGUUCUUAUAGGUAUGACUUCAUUAUUCUUAAUAUAUACUUCACUUGACUUAUGCAUUUACAAAUACAUUAAAAUUUGCACAAAAUUUGACUAUGUGCAUUUCUCAGGUGACAAGAAUACACACACACACACAUUUAAACUGCCUGCAAACCCAUGUACCUUAAAAUGAACAUUUACAUUUCUUAAAAUGAACAUUUACAAACUGUUUAUGAAACUAAGAAAUUGCACCCAUACAUUGUCUAAAUUUAAUGUUUUUGGCAACAUACCUUCUGCUCCAACUCAAUUUACUUGCAAUCUGAUAUCCCAAAAAAAAAAUUCAUAAGUUUCCGUUAUAUAAAUAAUUACAUUACAUGGCAAAUAUUUGAAAAAUGAAAAUCGAAAGAUUAAACAGAGAAAAUAAGAAAAUUUCAGUAUCUGAUGUAAAUUAACAUAUAAACACCAAAAAAGCAAAUAAAAAGAGAUUUAAGUUUCAGAAACUCGUAAUAAAAUAUAAAAUGGAGGAAUCAUGUACCUGAGGCUAGAGAUAAACGAAUGAUGGUUUUUGAGGAUAUGUAGAGAUUGUUUUCUAAAUAGGACAGAAUCUUAAUUCUUAUGGCUUCAAGAGGAGGUAUGUUCUUAAAAAUAAAUACUCACAUGUCAUAAUAUCAUUUAUUUAUUAUAUAGUUGACAUAUGAUCUUAGAGUUACUUUAAAAUUCCUUAAGGAGAUAGAUACAACAUGAAUCUUUCCCUAUAAGAUAGGGAUUAUCCCCUCGAAGAUUAUCAUUGACUAUAGGAGACAAAUCCCUUGAUUUUAGCCUUUUAGUGUGACUGUGAUUAUUUAAUUAUCUCCACAUGCCACAUUAGUUUGAAAUUAUCUACAUAUGCUUAACCCAUAUAAUUAUUAAAAUAUCCUCAGUUAAAUUAGGUUGAUACAUGAAUUGUAUGACUCAUUGUUGUGUAACGAGUAGUAAAUUCUAUGUAUCGUGUAUUUUGUUGCACUACUCAUGCCAAAACAAUUUUGUGAGAGUAGUGAUAUUUGAUCCCAUGUAUUUAUUUCAUGUCCUUAGUUUUCAAUUACUCAUUUAUUUCCGAAUUUACCAUUAUUAAAAAAUAAAAAUACAAAAAGUUCUUUUAUUCUAUGAUUUAUCUCUCUCUCAGUCUCUUGAAUUAUCAAUUUCUGAAAAUUGAGCGAAAAUUGAAUUGAAGUUGAAAUUUUUUAUCAGAGGAAGGGAAUUAAUAUUAAAACAUUUUUAACAAGAAAAGGACCAUUAUAAAUAACUAGUUAGCGUGUUCAUAUGCAUGCGUGUAUGAAAUAAAAACUCACAAUUAGAAAAUUAAAAACUUAUAGGAGGUCAAGAAAAUCUAUACUUCUAAUACUAAAGGUAUUAACAAUAAGUUCUUGCUUGAAACAUGUCCCAAAUUUAAUGGCAUUCUUGAUAUUAAACUAGAACCAUCAAAGAUAAAAGUUUAGAAGCUAUAUAUUUACUCAACCCACCAACUUAAUCAGGGGUGGCUUUAAGCAUAGGCGAACAAAGCGAUUACCUAAGGCCCUAUAUUUUUUGAAUGCCUCAUUUUUUUUUAGUAUUUCUUAAUAGUUAUUUAAUUAAUAAUCAUCUUUUUAAAAAAAUUAUGUAUUGUAGAAAGCCUAUUAGACAUCUUUAUAAUUAACAGUUAAAUCACAACUAAGAAUUAUUAUUUUUAACAGAAAAUCAGUAUUUGGUAACCUUAAUGUUCAAGAGAUAUAAUUAAUAAAAUUGUUUAGCCAUUAAUUCAUUCAUUAUUAGUUUUUCAAAAAAAAAUAAAUUUUUUACCUUUUAAGUUUCCUAAAAAAUUAAAUUCUUUGACUUUUAAUAUUCCUUUUAAUUUCCAUUAAAACCUUGUAAUAUAAAAAAUCAAUAAAUAAAUAGAUUUCUUGCUCUCUUUUUUUUACGAAGAGAAUUAUUACAUUCAUUGAUUCAUUUAAAAAGAAAAAAUUAGUUUCUUAAAAUACAAUGUGCAUAUCUAUUAUUUGAUAAUCAAUUCAUCAUCUCAACUUUCUACUAUUCUAAAUAUUCUAUUUGAAAAUAAUAUUGUUUUUAUGUAUUUGUUUUUUUAUUUUUGUAAUAAUUUUAAUGGAAGUAAAAAAGAUAUCUUCUUGGUUUUUUUUUAGGUUUGGUUUUUGAAAAUUUUUAAGAUAUUUUUUAUUACUAUUAAAAUUCAAGAGUUAAAAGUCGAAUGAAUUUUUUAGUCUUAUAUUUCUUUAAGUAUUAAAAUUGUAAAAUAAAAAAAGGCCCCACAAAAAAUUUUUGCCUAAAGCCCCAUAUACUCUAAAGCCAACCCUGAACUCAAUCAUAGAUCAGAGCCAUACCCUUAUUUUCUGUUUUCAUGUUGUAAAAUCUGUACUUCUAAUAAUUUUUAACAGCGCAUGUAUUAAGCGCGUUGCCAAAAAGUGGAUUUCACAACAAUCAUCUUGUGAAGGUGGCUAUAUUCUUGUUGUUAUAUCCUAUUUUUCUUUGUACUGGGGAUGAUGAACAAACCAAAUAUAAAUCAGACACGAGCAAAUAAAUUAAGUAUAAGGGACCACAAUUCUAAAACUGGAAGUGAAUUGUCGUCUCAAAUUUAAUUGCAAUGACAAAGAAUUAGGUGAAGUUGCAGAAAAAUUUUAGAAAAGUGGUAAAGAUGACAACAAAGAUUGUGAUGCUUUUAGAGUUUGCUAGCUCAAUUCUUGCUUCAUGCCAAGCCUACUUUGACCAAUACUUUAGCACAAAUGUUACAGGUUCGAUUUUCAUUCCGAACUGUAACCUGCACAGCAUAGCUCUGACAGAGCACAUUACGUAUAUUGUGAGUUGUCACUGUUUUUAAUUUACUAUUGUGAAGUCAACUAACUGGUAGAGCCUCAUUAUAACUAAUGCUGUAAAUGGUUAUGUUUGCGGCUGAUUUUGGGUCAAUGAAUAAAAAACCACAAAACCAACCCAAGAGCAAUAAAUUUAUAUUUUUGUCGGAGAGCGGGGUACCUCGCUUGUUCGGCACGUGCGGGCUGUUUAGGCUUUUUGUGGAGUGAAUGAGGAUUGAGAUGACGGUGGAUAUGGAGGGGGUCUGACUUCAGGUGUGGAGGCUGGUGAAACUCGCCUUAAACCUGCGAAACAACAAAAAAAGAGGUCAAAGGUGGAGCCGGGGGUGGCCGGCGACCACACUCCGACGCUCAAGUCAGAAUUGGUUAUCUCAGGUUAGAGAGCUUGCAAGCUCUCGGUAAUGGAGAUUUUGAGGUUGAAGAAACCCUAGUUUUUUGUGGUGAGUGUGUUUACUUACUUGAUAAAAAUCAAACCUGAGUAUUUAUAUGGUGUACCCCGGUCGUCGUGCCACCUGGCGCUAUUUUAGUGGCGUUCCCUGCUGUCAUGUCAGGAAUAUUCUUAUUUUCAUGCGUAUGGCGGCUUAGACGUUUCAAAAAUAUCAGUGGAGAGCAAGUUUGUGGCGUAUUCACGUGCUGGGCGUAGUGGAGUGGUCCCGUGUACCUCUGCAAUUCCGUUGUAAUUUUGCAGGUGUAGCAGGAAAAGCUGGUGGUCCCAACUGUCAUAAUAUCACACUUUUGGCGGAUUCGCUAGCGUGACAGGCGGCUGUCUCUCUUUUGCGGCACAAGAUUUCCUUAUUUUUCGACACGUAUCAAAUGGAUCUUUUUAGAUUCGGGGCCCACAUAUCCCUUCACAUAUUUACGAAGAUUUUUAUAUCAUUUCAUGGUGUACCCGAGGUACCCCGGAGUCCUUAGGGUAGCCGAGGUACCUAGAGUACUCGAGAUACCCGAGGUACCCAAGGUACCCGAGACAAAUUAAUCUCUUACAUAUCGACACGUGGCGCUUCAUCAUUGGUCUCGUAUUUCCUUCCCAAACAACAUCCCCCUAGUUUCUUUGUGGCGAAUGUAAUUGAGGCACAAGAAACUCUUGGAGGAACUGUGCGUGACACGUGGCGAUAUUUAUACACUGAACUAAUGCAUGUCUUCCUGGAGGAACAUCCCCCUGGUUUUUUUUUUUUUUAAAUACCAAUCUCACGCAAACAUCCUUGAUCUUCUUUUCGUGCAGUGUGCUCUGUCAGGUUUAAUUAAAAACUCCUUAUGUGAAUGCCAAUCUCUUGUCGUUUAUUUUGAAAAUCCCAACAUAAUCUCCCAUCAAAUUUAAUUACUUCCAGUGGCUUCUUGCUUGCUCUGGCUUUUAAAAUUCAAAAACCAGUCAAAUCAUUUCAAUCACCAGCUUCACAUUUUUUUUUUUUAUAAAUCACCUUCUGCACGUUUUCAUUCCCCCUUUAUUCUCUUUCAUUUUGCCAUCCCCAAAAACUUUUUUCUCUUCUUCUCCAAUUCCAACGCCUCCCCAUCUCCAUUUUUUCUUCUUUAUUUGUCUUUUGCUUCUUGCCCUUUCGGCAUCCAUCUCCUUUCUUUUUUUCUUUUUUUUUUGCUUGCUCUCGGCCCACCAUCACAGUUUCUUUCUCUUUUUGCAUUCCUCAUUUUUUUCUUUUCUUUAGCUUUUUCCAGGCAUCUUUCAUUCCCUUUUUUUUUCUUUCUUUUUCCUUUUCUUUUUUUUCUUCCUUCUCGGCUGGCCUUGGCUCCCGUGAUUUCCGGUGUGGCGUGACGACGGCGUUCGGCUGGUAGUGCAGUGAUCUCCUUGUGGUAAGCCAUCUUCUCCCCCCCAUUUUGCUUCUUCUUCGUUUCUUCCAGUGGCCCUUUUUUUUUUUUUAAUCCAUGCUCCUCCUCUUUUUCCUUUUAAAUCACCCUGACAGUUUUUUUUUUUUUUUUUUUGACUUCCUUUUUUUUUUUUUAUCUCCAGGCUCCCCCAUUUUUUUUAUAUCUCUAAUGGGUUUCAUUGUGUCUAUGACAGCCUCUGGACAGCUCCAUCUUUUGAGCAAUUUUUGGCGAUUUGUGACUUCUCUUAUCGAUUUAUAGUCUAAAACUUACUUGUUGGCGACUGAAAUUUGCUACUCUCGGUGAGAUCUAGGUAUAAAUUUUUCAUACCUAUUUUGACUUCUUUAUUUUGAAGAAUAAUGUUGUGGCUUUGUUUUUGGAUUUGUUUCUGGUUUUCAUGUAAAGUGUUGGCAUUUUUCUUUUUUGUUUAUGCUUUUAUUGGGUGGAUAUUGGUGUUUGGCUUGUGAUGGAUGAGGUCUGAAGUUGUGGGGGUAUAUUUUGAUGUGGAGGUUUUUUUUUUUUUUUUUGUAUCUUGUGUUUUAGGAGAACAAGAUGAGGAGAAAAACUGUUGGGAAAAAGGGUCGUAAUGUGGUCAGGGAGCAGGGGGAGACGAGUGAGGAGGCUCCCCUUUCUGAUUCAGCCCCUUAUAUAUCCCUUAGUGACGACGAUGGGUCCCCUUCGCCUAGUCCCAAGUUAUCUCGAACCAAAACCAGUAAAAAAUCAAAGAUUAAAGACAAACACCCAACUAAGCCAGCCCAUAGAAAAACUCGUGCAAAGACAUCCAGACCCAUAGCCACGGUCUCCGAGACCUUAGUGGCAUCUCGGCUGCACAGACCGAGGUAGAGAGGCUGCGAGGUGAGGUUAGGCUCGGCCAGUCUCGAGAAGAGAAGUUAGGAGAGGAGGUCAGGGCUUUGCAAAGGCGCUUGGACGACCACGCCUGGAGAAUAGUCGAUUGUCUAGGAAGUUGGAAGAGGCGGAGUCUAAGCAUGGCGAGCUACUAUCUCGCCAACCGGAGAUGAUGGACAAGGCCUUUACUCUUAUCAUGACUGAGGUCUGGAGCAUCGAGCCUGAGCUGGUGGUAUCCCGGGUGGAGAAAUGGGUGGAUAAGUCGGCCAUCCUUAAAGCGAUAGAGGACAAGAGGGCUACUGAGGCUCCCCCAUCUCACAGCCCACAGCGAUCUUCUGAGGUACCCCAGGUACCCAGGCGGAUCUCCCUUCGGUUAGCGCUGUUCAUGCGGGUAGCCGCUCUUUGGCUGCGAGUGUUCCUGUUGAUACCCCCGUUGAGGGGAACGGUGGAGAGGAUGUCCCCCCUCUGCUUGAUCUUACUUGUUAUUCAGAACUUUAUCUUGAGGUGUCUUAGCAGCUUUCUUUCUUUGCUUCUGUACCUUUUGUAGUAUGGUAUUAUCCUUUUGAUGUGUUGGGGAUACUUGUCUUUUGGAAGGUUGCCUCGGCAAUCUUGCCUACUCGUUCGCAUUAACUUCUGUAAUAUACUUUAUUUGGAGUGCCAUUGAAUUCCUUGCUUAUGAUUGAUUUGCGUAGCCUUGCAGGGGUUCCUCGGGUGCCCAGGUACCCCCCCUGAUGUAUUUUUUGGCGCUUGCGUGGUGAUUUCCGUAGAUGUGCUCACUGCUCGUCUUAAUAAAGAUUAUGGUGUAUCUCAAAAUAAUUUAAUAAUUCGCACAUCAUCAUAAGAUAAAACGAAAUUCAUAUUUGGCGCAACUAGGAUAAAAUAAAGAUUAUGGCGCAUCUCAAAUAGACUUGUGGAGUUUCUUGGGUACCCCAGGUACCUUUUUUUUUUUUUUUUUUCGGGGACCUUCUUGGCCCCCUCUCUUGCAGAAAUUGUCAAAAACAUGCUUGUUUUGCCAUUCGCUUCUAGUCAAUAUUUAAUAAAAUAAUGCGAAUAGAGGGGCAUGCUUGCCUACCUCGUUUCGUUUAUCUAUUCUUUACUUGGCUCAAGUAAAAGAAUGGAGGUGUGGGCGUGUGCAUACCUUAACGGAACCUCAUGGCGCUAGGGUAUGCUGGUUUACCUCGCCCUUGGGCCUUCUCUGACCCUCCUUCUUUAAUUUUGUUGUAUUAGUUUUUAUUGACGUUGACCUCGAAUAGAUCUUCACGAUCGAAUCGAAUCAGAUACCUCAGGUUCUCCUGAUUAUCUUGAAAUUGAGCAAUUAUAGCUGAAUAAGACAUGGCGUAAUAAGAGAGAGUCACAUUAAUGGCGAAAAUUUAACCAUAAUCACAUUCGGUAAUCAAAAGGAGAACAUUACAUAAGACUGACUCAUUGUCCUAAUGAGAAUAGGAAACCGUAUAGAUAUCCACUCUCUAGGACUUAGGGAAUUAAAAAUUUCACUUGCACAUGUGGGGUACCCUAAGUACCUUUCAUGGCUUUACCACAUUGCACACAUAGUAAAGAAAAUAAGAAAUAGAUAAAGUGAACGAUAAGGUUUAAGACACUGUCCUCAUGUUAGUAGUACUUCCUCAACAUUGCGGCAUUCCAGGGAUGCUUGACGAUUGUUUCAUCCAUGUGGAGUAGUUUGUAUGCCCCCGAACCUACUGGCUUGUCUAUGCGAUAUGGGCCUUCCCAAUUGGCUCCGAAAGAGCCCUCCGAGGGUACCUGGGUAUUCUGAGUUACCCUUCGUAGGACUAAAUCCCCUUUCUUGAAUGAUAUGGGGCGUACCCUCUUGUCGUAUAAAUCUGAAACGCGGUGCUGGUAUAUUGUAACCUUCAAUUCUGUUUUGGCCCUUUUUUCUUCAACAAAAUCAAGAUUGGACGCAAUCAAAGAGGCAUUCUUGGCUUCAUCGAAGUAUGCGGUUCUGUGAGAGGGUAUCCCGAUUUCAUCUGGAAUGAUUGCAUCAGUCCCGAAAGCCAGAGAAAAUGGGGUUUCCCCAGUUGAAAUAUUUUGAGUUGUCCGAUAGGCCCAAAGAACGCCGGGUAACUCGUCUACCUAAGCUCCCAGACUUUCCUCCAGCCUCUUCUUUAGGAUACCCUUGAUGAUUUUGUUGAUGGCUUCCACUUGUCCAUUAAAUUGCGGGUGAGCCGGAGAAGCAAAUUGGUUGGCUAUCCCAAGCUCCGAGCAGAAAUUCUGAAAUUUUUCGUUAUCGAAUUGCCUCCCGUUGUCGCUGACAAUUGCAUUAGGGAUACCAUAUCUGCAUAUGAGGUUCCUCCAAACAAAAUCAGUGGUUUUUCUCUCCGUAAUACUUGCCAACGGCUUCGCUUCUACCCAUUUUGUGAAAUAGUCAACGGCUACACAAUUGCAUACUUAGCUUGUCCUCUACCAGUUGGUAGUGGGCCAAUGAGAUCUAUACCCCAAACAGCAAAUGGCCACGGAGAAGACAUGACAGUUAACUUUUCUGGUAGAAGGUGGGGUACCCUGGCAAAUCUCUGGCACUUGUCACAACUCUUGACCAUGUUUUUGGCAUCCUCCCGCAUCGUAAGCCAAUAAAAUCCUUGACGAAGGGCCUUCUGUGCCAAUGAUUGUGCUCCAUAGUGGUUACCGCAAAUCCCUUCGUGUAUCUCUCUCAUGACAUAUUCGGCAUGUUCAUUUCCCAAGCACUUUAAGUAAGGGAGGGUAAACCCUCUUCUGAAUAAGGUAUCCUCAAUGAGACAAUAUCGAGCAGCUUUGGACUUUAGGUAGCGCCCGCAUUCUUCAAACCAAAAGGCAUAACCUUGUAGCAGUAUAACCACGGUUGGUGACGAAGGCCGUUUUAUCUUGAUCAGGCUCGUACAUUAGAAUUUGGUUGUACCCGGAGAAAGCAUCCAUGAAACUAAGCAUCUCGUGCCCAGCCGUAGCAUCGACCAGCUGGUCUACCCGGGGAAGCGGGAAGCUAUCCUUAGGGCAAGACUUGUUUAAAUCCGUGAAAUCUACACACAUGCGCCAUUUCCCGUUAGACUUCUUAACCAAUACAAUAUUUGAGACCCAAUCGGGGUACACCGCCUCCCUAAUAAACCCCGCUGCUAGCAGUCGGUCCACUUCUUGUUCGAUGGCGUCAUAGACUUCUUGUUAUAUCUUGGGCGGAUGCAUAACCAAACUCAUGAACAUAAUCUUUUAGGAGCUGGUCUAAGGAGGAUACACUACCUGCCUUCAACGAUCGGAACCAUGACUUGGCUGGUCCGGUGAGGGUAUGCGGGAACAUCCGGCACAUAGCAUUGUCGCCCAUCCUUUAAUCAUCAUCUGGUCACGAUAUAACUCAGCAUGUUCCACGGGAUCCGAGGUACCCGAGUAUUGUUGUAUUUGAGGCAUGGUGAAUGCGUCCGGGAGAACCGCUGUCCGAAUCUCCAUGAUGAAUGGCGAGUUAUGCACUGCUGGCGCUAGAGCAUUGCUGGGUUUUGUUUUUCAGAAAGGAGCUUCACUUGAGCUUCGAGGUACUCCAUUUUUUCCAGGAACUCGCGGGGUACCCCAGGUGCACCUGAGGAGGCCGCUGUUGUCUGGGAAGCUCUUUUGGCGUUCAACUUGUACCGGAGAUCUUCAUGGGUGCCCGAUGGCCCAUGCUUUGGUCUACUUCCCUCCGGUAUUUCAGAUCUUGUAUGAUCUGUUUCUCACCGCGUGGAGGUGAGACAUCUUGAGUUACCGGAGAAGUGGCUGCUUCGGGUACCCGAGAUCCUACUGCUCUGAGAAUCGCAUGAGCUAAAUCCUCGAAGUGUUUAUGAGUAACGGGCUCCUCAUCGGGUUGAAUACCAGCUGAUUGCUUAACUGAUUUGCCUUUCUCUAAGCGGCAUGCCCUCCUUGUCGAGUCACCCCUCUCAUCAUCGCCGUGGUCCUCUGUUCCAUCAUGACCUAGCAUUUGGUUAUCAGCGGUACGUCGGGUGCCAUGGCUGUGGAAGCACACGUACCGACAAGCUUAGCACCGUGUGGAAGCUUUUUGCUCGUGUCCCCACAGACGGCGCCAAUUGUUUGCGGCUGAUUUUGGGUCAAUGUAUAAAAACCACAAAACCAACCCAAGAGCAAUAAAUUUAUAUUUUUGUCGGGGAGUGGGGUACCUCGCUUGUUCGGCACGUGCGGCUGUUUAGGCUUUUUGUGGAGUGAAUGAGGAUUGAGAUGACGGUGGAUAUGGAGGGGGUCUGACUUUAGGUGUGAGGGCUGGUGAAACUCGCCUUAAACCUGCGAAACAACCAAAAAAGAGGUCAGAGGUGGAGCCGGGGGUGGCCGGCGACCACACUCCGACGCUCAAGUCAGAAUUGGGUUAUCUCAGGUUAGAGAGCUUGCAAGCUCUCGGUAAUGGAGAUUUUGAGGUUGAAGAAACCCUAGUUUUUUGUGGUGAGUGUGUUUACUUACUUGAUAAAAAUCAAACCUAAGUAUUUGUAUGGUGUACCCCGGUCGCCGUGCCACCUGGCGCUAUUAGUGGCGUUCCCUGCUGUCAUGUCAGGAAUAUUCUUAUUUUCAUGCGUAUGGCGGCUUAGACGUUUCAAAAAUAUCAGUGGAGAGCAAGUUUGUGGCGUAUUCACGUGCUGGGCGUAGUGGAGUGGUCCCGCGUACCUCUGCAAUUCCGUUGUAAUUUUGCAGGUGUAGCAGGAAAAGCUGGUGGUCCCAACUGUCACAAUAUUACACUUUUGGCGGAUUCGCUAGCGUGACAGGCGGCUGUCUCCUCUUUGCGGCACAAGAUUUCCUUAUUUUUCGACACGUAUCAAAUGGAUCUUUUUGAGAUUCGGGGCCACAUAUCCCUUCACAUAUUUACGAAGAUUUUUAUUUCCUUUCAUGGUGUACCCGAGGUACCCCCGGAGUCCUUAGGUUAGCGAAGGUACCUAGAGUACCCGAGAUACCCGAGGUACCCAAGGUACCCGAGACAAAUUAAUCUCUUACAUAUCGACACGUGGCGCUUCAUCAUUGGUCUCGUAUUUCCUUCCCAAACAGGUUAUUCUGGAAGCAAAUGCUAGCUUGAUUUUUCAGAAAAGGUGUUCCUAAUUCUUGCUUGGGGGGAUUGAAUUUUGGAUUGAAAUGUUUAUUUGCAAAAUAUUUUACAGGAUCCAGAAUUGUGAGCUUUGGACAUUUCUUGUGGAAUGUUUUGGUUAUUUUAAGUGUCUUUUGUUACCAUUAAAUUAACCCUAAGGAAAGAAAUGCUUAUAGUUGGGAAAAGUUUUGAUGGAUCGAUAUUUUUCAAUAUAGUUUUUACUUAGCUUAUUAUAUAUGAGUCAUGUUUAGAUGCAAGUCCGCAUUUUAAAUGACUGCAGAAGCUUGUUUUAAAUAUAGUCAUCUUUAGCUUGGUUCAAAUUUUUUUCUAUUUUUUUUUAGAAACGACUGCAGAAGCUUGUUUGUUGAAACUUGAAAAUAGGUAAAUGUCUUGAAUAAAGUUGAUGAUGGUAGUUUCAUGUAAACCUUUUUUUCCUUGUUGUGUCUAAUCUCUUCAUGUACAGGUUCUUGUGGUCAACUUGAAAAUGGCUAAAAUUGUGGAUAAGGGUAACGAGACUAACUUCAAGGAGAAUGAUGAUGUGAACCAACAAAAUGAAAUUUUAAGGAAAAAUCAGCCUUUCAUUGUAAGUCUUCUGAUAGUAAAUAUUAUGUGUUUGAUUGUUGGUAAGUAUUUGUUGGAAUUGUAAAAAAAAAAAGUUAGAAAAAUGACCUAAAACUUGUGAGUCGACAUUAGGUGUGAAAUAAAAUAAAAAUAUAUAUGCACCACACAUAGGACUAAUAAAUUGAAGGAAAAUGGGCAAAUUAAUGUUGAAGUAAUAAAUAGGAACAAGAAAUUGUAAACAAAACAAAAACUUAGAAAAAUAACAUAAAACUUAUAAAUUGACAUUAAGUUUGAAAUGAAACAAAAAGUUUGUAAACCGGGUAUAAGACUAGUAAAUUGAUGGAAAAAAAAGGUAAAUAAUUAAUAUUGGAGUUGUAAAUUGGAAUAAGAAAUUGUAAAUAAAAUAAGAGCUCAGAAAAUGACAUAAAACUUAAAAAUUGAUAUUAAGUGUGAAAUGAAACAAAAAAAAUUAUAAAUCACGCAUAGGACUAGUAAAUUGAAGCAAAAAGAGGACUAGUAAAUUGAAGCAAAAAGUGUAAAUUGUUGGAGUGGUAAAUUAGAACAAGAAAUAUAAAAAAAGACAAAAAAUUAAAAAAAAUAUAUAAAACUUGUAAAUUGAUAUUAAGUGUGAAAUUAAAUAAAAAAAUUAUAAAUCAUACAUAGGAUUAGUAAACUAAAUGAAAAAUAGGUAGAUUAAUGUUGGAGUAGUAAAUUAGUCUUUCGAUUUGUAAAAAAAAAACAAAAAACAAAACUUAGAAAAAUUAUAUAAAACUUGAAAAUUGACAUUAAGUGUGAAAUGAAAUAACAAAAUUUGUAAACUACAUAUAGGACUAGUAAAUUGAAGGAAAAAUGAGUAAAUUAAUGUUGGAGCAGUAAAUUGAAAAAAGAAAUUAUAAACAAAAUAAAAAUUUAGAAAAAUGACAUAAAACUUGUAAAUUAACAUUAAGUUUGAAAUGAAACAAGAAAUUUGUAAACGCACAUAAAACUAGUCAAUUGAAGCAAAAAGUGGUAAAAUAAUGUUGGAGUGGUAAAUUAGAAAAAUAAAUUAUAAAAAAGACAAAAAAUAAAAAAUAAUAUAAAACUUAUAAAAUGAUAUUAAGUAUGAAAUAAAUAAAAAAAAAUUAUAAACCACACAUAGGAGUAGUAAAUUAAAUGAAAAAUGAGUAGAUUGGUGUUGAAGUAGUAAAUUGGUCUUUGGAAUUGUAAAAAAAAAAACUUAGAAAAAUGACAUAAAACUUGACAAUUGACAUUAAGUGUGAAAUGAAAAAAAAAAUGGAAACUACGUAUAGGACUAAUAAAUUGAAAAAAAUGGGUAAAUUAAUGUUGGAGCAGUAAAUUGAAACAAGAAAUUAUAAACAAAAUAAAAACUUAGAAAAAUGACAUAAAACUUAUAAAUUGACAUUAAAUGUCAAAUAACACAUUAAAUUUGUGAAUCACACAUAAGACUAAUAAAUGUAACCUCUAACUUGAACAAAAAAGUAUAAUUACUGAUUACUUACCUAUUUAUUUAUAAUUAAUGGUAGAGAUUUUUCAUUCAAUCUAACGGUUUACGUCUAUUACGAUAUUGAAACCGUAAUUUUAAUUAUGGUAUUAUAGAAGGACCCGAAUAACAAAUUAAAAAAGCAACGGGUUGGCAAUACAAAAUCAAAAGAAGGACAAAAUAUGAAAAGCAAGGUACGUAAUUCCACUGAAUGGAAGCCCUAAACUGUCCCCCCAGAGGGUCUACCAACAAAUUAACUCUCUGGAGAACUAUCACUUCUAUCUUGGCAUAUAAAUUAUUUACUUAAGUGUGUUCAUCUUUAUUACAUGCUCUCUCACAUUGUAGUUCAAAUUUAUUUAGGAGAAAGUAGAAAUGGGAGCUCACCGCUGACUUAUAGGGCAUGGCUACCGUGCAGGUAUGUAUGUGAUGUAGAGGUAGAUGCUUACCGUUGGAUUCAGUAAUAAGAAACCUAACGGAUAAGAUUAAAUUUAUAAUUAAAUCAACUAAUUUGAGAAGACUAGAAAUUCAGUUAUCAUGUCACUUGUAUAAUUUGUGAGUAAUAGUGCGGAAAUUAAUAGCAGUAAAUAUGAAACUACCGCCAUUAAACAUAUAAUUUUUACCCAAAAUUUAUAUCGUAAAACCUUAAGCAAAAAAUUUUAAAUUUAAUAAUUAUACUUGAAGGGGGCAGCUACAUUGCGUCAUGGGUUUUGUUACCCCAGUCGUUUGUCUUGUAGCACAGUCACCGUUGGAUUUCAUCUCACGGCUGCAGAAGAGACACAGAGACAUUAGGGAAUAACCUGACAAAAAGGUAAUGGGCCGGUAAGCUGCAGGGAAUCAACUUUUUGACAAAAUAACGCAUGUAAUGGGUUGGAAGUUAUUUAAUAAGUAACGCAUGUAAGCAAACAGGGAACGGGUGCAUGCAAGUAAUGGUUGCAAACAGGGAACGGAAGCGUGCAAGUACGGGUUGGGGUUUCAUUUGAAAUUUUCGAAAAUAGUGAUGAAAAUAUUUGGAAGUGGAUUUAAGUCAUCAGGUAAUGCAUUGCGCACUUGGUGGGAAAAAAGGGAGAAAUAUCAAUUUUAAUCCCGAAACUAGCCUUGCUUGAAUUUACAGUUAAGUUGCCCUAUAAUUCUUUUUUUGUGGAAAAUAGGAGCGUGAGUUAAGUAAAUGAAAAUCAUAUAAAAAAAUGUGAAGAACAAUUAAAUACCAUGUAGUAGUAGUAGUAGUAAUAAUAAUAGGCAAACCCUAUCUUACAUGCAUGUAAGAUACAUCCCCCUCACAUGAAUAGUGCAUGUGUGGGACCCACACACUAUUCAUGUGAGAGGAAUGUAUCUUACAUGCAUGUAAGAUCUAAUAAUAAUAAUAAUAAUAAUAAUAAUAAUAAAAAUAAUAAAUUAUGAUCAACCAAGAAUGACAAUCUAAAUUGAGGUGAAGGAUAAGUUAAAAGAGGAAAAAAAUAAAGAGAAACUAUCUUGGGCUUGUUGAACCAAACACCCUAUCCUAUCUAUUUUCAUUAGCAGUCUAGGAGCGUGAGUUAAGUAAAUGAAAACCAUAUAAAAAAAUGUGAAGAACAAUUAAAUACCAUGUAGUAGUAGUAGUAGUAAUAAUAAUAAUAAUAAUAAAAUAAAUUAUGAUCAACCAAGAAUGACAAUCUAAAUUGAGGUGAAGGAUAAGUUAAAGAGGAAAAAAAUAAAGAGAAAACUAUCUUGGGCUUGUUGAACCAAACACCUAUCCUAUCUAUUUUCAUUAGCAGUCUGUCACGGGAUGAGUGUUUUGCGCAGCAAACCCGUGCGACACUUAGAUGACUUCUAGCACGCAAGUCGCUAAAUAAGCUUAGAACAUUUCUCAAACUAGCGAAGUAAGGAUGCUUGUGAAAAUGUUAGAGAGAAGUAAAAGCAAUAUGGCCGAAUGUAAUUUUAUGUUAACAACAGAAGAUAGGGUUAUGUUAGAAGCCGUAAAAGUAAGAUAUUUGAGAAAAUAAUUUUUUGAUAGGACAUUCUCCCAUAAUCUAUUAAUUUACAGUAUUGUUCAUUGUUGACAAGCUUAAAAUUAAAUAAUAGCAUAAAUAUUACACAAUUUAUUUGUUUUCACAUUAAAUGAAUAAUUGGGAUAAUAAUUUUGCAAAAAAAAAUGUUGACUCAUAUAUGACACUAGGUAUAAGUAAUUUGAAAUAAAUUCAAAUUUACAUAUAGAAAUUAUUUAUUUUGAAUGUACUAAACAUGGAUUGUAUAGCGACACGUAAAUUGCUAUCAAAGCAUUUAUUUAAUAUAUAUUCACUUUAAAUUGCCAAAACGUAUGUAAGACCUUGUCCAAUCCUGUAUUAAAGUAAACAAAGAUAAGAAUAUUGUAAUCCAAUUUCGUAUUUGAAGUAAAUGGGUGUGUAGAGUAUUUUAGCAAGUUAAAGUAAUCCAUCUAUAGUAUUAAUAUUUAAAUAUGUUCAUUUCAUAAAAUAGUGUUGACCCAUAAAAUAAUAGAUAGGGCUUAUGUGUUAAAAUUUUAAAACCUAACGUUUCCUUAUAAUUUCAUAAAAUAGGAAGGGCUACAACGUUAGUAGUGAUUAUCUUCGUGCGGCUAUAACACCUUUUAGAACUCCUGCGUUGAAUCUAAUGAUUGGAUAUGAAAAAAAAAAAAAGAGGUGCGUGAAAUCACGAUUGCGUGCAAGGCGGAUCCUUCAGGGGCAUAACAAACACUUCUGUAAUCAUAUUGUGAAAUAUUUUUUAAAGAUGUGUUAUUAUGACUUUUUUGUAGAUAUAAUUCAUUCUUAGGUGAAUAGAAAAAAAUUAGAUAUAGUUUUGCUUUCAUAUGUUAUUUCGCUAAAAGAAUGUAUCCAAGAAAUUUAAGUUUUGAUAAUGUUGCAAGCCUUUCCCUUGCCAUUGGAAAUGACUAUGAAGGUGUUGAACGUUCUACCUUUUAAGCCGCUAAAUCUAUUCUUGUUUUAGGUGUACCUGGUGUUGUUGGCACCCCAGUGAUUGAGGAAUAAACAAUAUUGUUAUUCCUUGUGUUUUCCUUGCUUCACUACUACAAAAUUAGUCUUUUAUGACGGUUUUAAAACCAUCAUCUUAGGCACCAACAUUAAAGAGGGUAUGUUUUUUAUGACGGUUCACUAAUCGUCAUUAAAUAUAUAUUUUUAAUGAUGGUAAUUUUCUAAAAUAGUCAUUAUUUAUAGUAAUUAUAUAUGUUUUGACGACUGUUUUUUUAUAUAACAGUUAUUAAAUGUGUCAUUUUAAUGACGGUUUAUUGUAAGAACCGUCAUUAUAUAUGUAUAUAUAUUAUAAGAACCGUUAUUAAAUAUUGAACAACAUUUUAUGACGGUUUCGAAAAAAAAGCCGUCAUCUUUGUUUCUAAACACUACAUUUGAUGACGGUUCUUUUCAAAUAACCGUCAUCUUUGUUAUUUAUUAUUAAAAAAUAAAUAUGGCAAAUUUAAGACUAUUUCAAGCCUCAUUUUAAUUCUAAUUUCAUAUUAAAUUCUUUACAAUUAUUUUUCCACAAACAAAAAAGAUGCAAAUGUUUCAUAUACAAAGAGAUAGCUCUACAAAAAUUCUCACAACUACUUAAUAUCUACUAAUGACUGCACUAGCAACCAACAAGAUUGGCAUGCGUGAGUACAUCUAAUUUCUCGUCAAGUCUUCAAUUGCAAACAAGUCUCACCAGUGUCAGCAAUCUAUGUCAUUCUUACAAAGAAUAAAGAGAAAUUAAGAUAUAUUCAUAUAUUAUAAAUCAUAAAUAUUAAAUCAUUUUAGUGACUUAAGUUGUAAAACAAGACUUUAAAGUACCAAAUUGCUAUUAAUUAAUAGACUUACCUAAGUAAGUUUAUCAACCAUGUGUUUAGAUAAUAAAUGACAAAAAUAUUUGCCAAAAUAGAGACAAUAAAAAAGCAUUAACUACAUCAUCCAUAAGACAUCCAGUACAUAUCCAUUAUACACUUGGAAAAAAAAAAUGAGACCUAAUGUUUAGAAUACUAUGAUUAACCAAAGAAUUAAUAGCAUGCUUGGAUAUUACCUUGCAAAAGUUGUACUUGCUUAUUACCCGGGGGGGGGGGGGAGGGGGGGAGAUUAAGUAUAGACAUAAGAGAAAAGAACUAAAGAAGGUCCAAAACAACAACUAAACAACACCCGAAAUUAUUCAGCUGCACUGUUAGUAGCAAAAUUUCAGCGAAAUAGAACCCAAAAUUUCUAAGUGCAAUUUUAAUUACAAAACAGCAGUAAAGCACCCCUUGGAUGCUUCCAGGUGCUUUGUUUCUGCAUAAACAACAGUAAAAACAGCACUUGGAAGUUUUCAGGUGCUGUUUUUGCAGCAUAACAGUAGCUAAACAGCACCUGAACACUUCUAGGUGCUGCGUUUCUGCGUGAACAGCAGUAAAAAUAGCACCUGGAAACUUUCAAGUGCUGCUUUUGCUGCAUAACAGCAGCUAAACAACACCUGGAUGCUUCCACGUGCUGUGUUUCUGCAUAAACAGCAGCUAAACAGUACCUGGAUGCUUCCAGGUGCUGUGUUUCUGCAUAAACAGCAAUAAAAACAGCCUCUUCUGUUGUUGCACAGCAGCAAAAUACUGCAACUUGAACUAAAAAGACAUAAGUGAGGAAGGGUUAAGCAACCAAAAGUAAAUCCAUCUACAUAAGUGCACAAACAAAAUGAACAAAUCACUUCCAAAAAUUUCAAUAAUUUUUUUAUAUUUUAAAUAGAGGAAGGGUUAAGUGUAUAAAGACAAUUUCUUUGCUUUACUUUCUUGAACUAGUGAAACCAACCCAUUGAUAAAAUUUCUGCUCUACUUUUUCAGCACCAUAGACAUACAUAAUUGUAUUAAUAUUAAUUCAGCAUAAAAAACAUAUAUAAUUGAAUUAAUCUUAUGGCAAUUUCAUCAAACAUCAUAUGUAAAUGAACACAUUAUUCCAAUUACAAACAUAAUCGAACUCUAAAUCCAUGAGAUAAAGUCCAAAACACAAAAUAUCUUAUCAAUCACACAAUUAUCAUGACAUAAACUUGGGGUCUUGAAAUAUGGCUAAAAAAAAGUUGUAAAAUAACAUUAGAAUUGUGUCUGGUAUCCUGCAUGGUUUCUAUUUAGAUUAAGCCUAUAAGAUACUAGAUAGUAAAUCUAAAAUGGGGACAAAAUGCUUUUACAUGUUGUUGCCUGUCUAGCAGAUAGCAAAUCCAAAUGCAUCACAUUGAAUAGCCCCGAUCCAAUAUAAAUUUUGUGAUGAUUCUAACAAAGAGCUUGACAAUUCUAUUAUGCUCUGCUCUCACUCUCGUUUCUUUAUUUUUUUUCCUUCUUUUAAAGCCACUCACAGCGUCGCAAAGGCGUGUCGGGCAGUGGUGUCAUGCGUCGUGAAGGUAGAUCGCAAAGACAAUGGAGCUGGUGGUGUCGCGGUGUCAUGCGACAGUGGCAGUGUGGAGGCAGAUCUCGUGGAGGCAGAUUGUGCGUUGCUGGAGUUAGUGUCGGAAGACAGUGGCGGUGUAGAGAUGCAGGGCGUUAAUCGGAUAGAAAAUCCCCAAUUUUCCCAAUAAAAACCCUAAUCUUCUUUUUCCCCGCUGACCCAAUAAGUGAAUCCCUUGUUUUGCGUAUCAACACCCAACUUAAUAAGAUUCAAUACCUCAAUACACCUUUCUGAAACCAGUAUGAAGACAAUAAUAUCCACAACAGUCGCCUGUACAAUUCACUUAUGGGGAGAAAGAUGAUACUUACCCUUUUUUUUUUUGUUUUACUGGUGCUACAACUUCAGCCGGUUACCCAUUUUCCACUUAUUAAAUCUCAGCCAUUAACUAUCUUUCUUUACAAUCUAAAGGGUCAAUCGCUAACAGACAAAUGAGUGGGGUACCAAACCCAUGAUGCAAUGUAGCUGGAUCCAUACUUGAAACCACCACCAUCCAAUAUGAAAUUAAUACUUACCUAAAAUCUUGAAGCAAAUUAUUUAUAUUGUGUAAAACUAAUAAUGAGAACAUGAUACAAUUAAUCGACAUAAAACCUUAUGAGAUGAGAUUAAUAGUUUACCAUGUGAAACUUGAAUGCCAACAUGAAAUGGAAGUAAAAAAGAAAAAGUUUUAGGAUAUUUGGAAUAUCCUACGUCAAACAUAAAAUUAUAAAUAUGAAACAUUUUACUUAAGAUAAAUAUGAAACAUAAAACAUGAAAAACAAAACGCUAGUCAUGAAAUUCGAAAAGUUUGACCUGAAACUUGAAUGGCAAAAUGAAAUGAGAGGGAAAAGAAAAUUUUGUGUGUAUUUAGAAUUUAUGAUAUAAAACAUUAAAUAAAAUACAUGAACCUUUUAGAUGUUAAACACGAGACAAAUUAUAAGACAUGAAUUGCACUUCUAUCUUUUUGCAGAUAUAAAUUUUAUUUUAUUUUUAAUAAUACUGACUAUAUAAAAUAUUGGUUUCAUUUUUUCUAUAAUCAUCCUUUUUUAUUUUUUAAAAAUUAUAUAAUUCAUAAAUAUUUUAUUUCAAUUAUAAUUUUAAAUUAAGUUGUCAAUAAAUGGAGCAACCGAUUACUCUUUAAGUUAAAACGGUUGGUUUAGCUGCUGGCAGCCAAACAACGAGGGGCGCUUAAUAUUGAGCCCCUCUACCAUGCAUGCCUUAAAGUCCCGGUAUGGUAUUGGUAACCACAAUUAAGGAGAAUAAAAGAAGCAGUAAUAGUACCAAUAAAGUGUUGGCUCCACUGGUAAUGGAGUCUCCUUAAGUGGCUUGACUGAGUUUGCUCCCCAGUUCGAGUAGUAGGGAAGUCGCCUUUGUUAGGAGAACCUGUGCCUCUCGGUUCGAGCGGAAACUUCUAGUCUAGGUUGUGGUACAGGCUUAAAGGUAUCUCCCACAAUUGGGGCCCUCCCCAAGAUAUCUCGUGGUAAAAAAAAAAAAAAAAAAAAAAGAAACUGUAAUAGUAAAGACAGCACUGCAACGAUAUCUCGUGGUAAAAAAAAAAAAACUGUAAUACAAAGACAGCACUGCAAGUUUGCAACAUCAGCAAGAGCAACGUAAUAAUGACCAAGCUAAGUGACAUCAGCAAGGGUCAAAAUUGCAUCAACAGGGAGAAAAGGUAUGGGCCACAAAAGCAGCGAUAUAAGGAAGGUUCACUAGUUCAUACUUUCUAUUAUGCAAUUAUUUUAUUUUAUUUUUAUUUUUUUUACAACUACUAAUUUCUCAAGAUUAUUUCCAUUGCACAAAUGUUUCAAGCGUUACAAUCAAGGACAACCGUGUGCUUAUGCUAAUUCAAAACCAUCACAUGCACUCUUUAAAAAUUUAAAAUAAAAUUAAGUAGUACUGAUAAUAUCUAGCUAUAUGUCUACCAUAUCAUAUCUUUAUGAAAGUAAAAAUGUAACAGAAAUAAGCAGAGCAAAGGAAACUGCCAGCAUAAUCAAACUCCAGAGCUUGGUUAUGUUUCACGCUAUUAUUCUUCUUAGGAUUUGCUUAGAGGUAGGACAAAUAAAUUUCUUUGCUUCUCAUAUAAUGGGAUGCAAUAAAAUUUUUAAUGAAAUUUUAAUUGGAUUGUUUUUAAUAUCUGUAUUCCUUUUCACAUUAUUUAUAUAUGUUAUUUUCUACGCGCUUAUCAUUAUUCAUUAGUCACCUUAUAAUUAGUGAUUUGCCGUGGUUCUCUUCCCCUCAAUAGGAUUAAGGGCGGCAGCAACAACUUAUGAUCAGAGGAUUAUAUGGUUAUCAAUCGCCGACGCCGAUUGGGUAUCAAUUGCCCACGUCGGGUCGUUAUCAUCGACCCAAAACCGCUUCACGAACAAGAACUUAGCCCGGCUCUCUUCAAGGACGUCGUUGUAGGGCUUCUUCUUUUUCACGCUUCAAGCAACUUCCAAAGCAAUGAUUGGCAGGAAAAGAGUAUUAGAGGAAAACAAAAUCCCAUUAGCCAGCAAGCGCAAACACUUUGCACAGGAACUUCUUAAUUCCGUAAACAAAUGCGGAAAUUAUGACCAUGAAAGAAAACUAUGCAAACCCAAACACUUUGCACAGGAACUUCUUAAUUCCGUGAACAAAUGCGGAAAUUAUGACCAUGAAAGAAAACUUUGCAAACCCAAACACUUUGCAGCGAGUUCUUAAGAAAUUCUAUAAUGCUUAGGAAUUUGAAAUUUUGACAUUUGUGGUUUUUUAUCCAGUCACUUUUUCAACCAUUCAUUCACUAUUCAACACAGGCCCUAUUUCUUUGUUCAAUAUAUCUUAAUGCAGAUCCCAGGUUGCAAACGUGUUAUGUUAGGUACUUUACCAAAAUGGUGCGUAAAUGACUCAUCCUAUGAGAAAUUAAUUAAGUAUUUAAGUUGCAAUCAAAUAGAUUAUCUCCAAACAACAUACUGGAGAAGCUCAUGAGCUACUAUUACUUUAUCAAUUCUCAUAAUGCUCUACUCCUUAAUUUGCACUACUCCAAGUAGUGCGGUAUUUUAAAAAUAACCAAUUAUCUAUCUUUAUCUUUCUUGUAUACAGUUCCCAAAAUUGCUUAGAAAGAUAUAUAUAUUUUGGUUUAUUUUAAUUCGAUCUCUACCAUAUCCAAAAGUAAUUUGAAGUAUCCUGGUACAACUUAUUUAUAGGAGAUCAAAGAUAUUCGACCAAAAUAGAUAGAUAUAUAAAUGUAAUCACUAUGGGCUUCAUUUCUAGCCUUUACAUUCAUUUUACCACAAUGUCAAAAUGGACUACUCGCAAUGAGCAUUUGGCUUUUGUUCCUUUGCCUUGUGGUUUUCCAAGUUGUUUUUCUAUAUUAAACGAAUUUCACACAUACACUUUAUCAUUACGAUGAGUGAGCCCAAUGUGCUCUCUCUAGCCAACUUAGCUAUAUGUCUAAGUCUAAUAUGCCAAAUUUUGGCAUGUACAUCAUCAUUGCAAGAUGAUGCAUAGUGAACAACUUUCCAUAAAAUCUCUUUUCAAAUUUGGUUAUACAAACACCUAAAAAUUAAGUAUCCUAAUCUAAGAAUGCCAACAAUACAGACCAAGGUUUUUGAUGAAUUUUCGAUGUACAUUCAUUCUUGAAAAAUAAGGACCAUGCAAUACCAACUUGCAGAUGCUUAUACCCUUGAUUUCUAGAACAAGGAUAUCCUCAUAUGUAUCCAUCUUUUCCUUUUGACAAUUACAACGGAAAAACAUCAAAACUUUUUUGUGAUCUCUACUCAUAAGGUAUGGCUACUUAGUAUAUUUCUCCAAAACGCUUAAGCACAAUGUCGUUUCAACUUAAUGAUUGUCGUGCUUAUCACGUGAGUUUAUUAAGCCUUUUAUCAACUGAGAAGUGGGUGUUUGUAUUCACCUUACAACCAACAAAUUACGUAUUAGAAAUAUUUUUUAAAAAAUGAGUGUGAAAAAUAUUUUAAUCAUUUGUUGGAUUCAAAUAUCUUCACUUUUUGGGAAAUUAUUGAAUUGUCUUGUCCUAAAUAUGUAUGCACGGAGAGCCUCUUUCCUAAGUUCAUGUGUACUUUUGCUCAACAAUAGGAAUAAACGAAGAGAGAAAGAUGGGCCACUUUGUCAUCUUCGUUAUCUACCUCCACUUUCUUUUUUCACUAACGUAUACAUCGAUUAUUUGGAAACCUUCAUUUGUGCACUUUCCUGACAUUCCUGCUACUUACGGUAAAAUUUCGGUUUUAGCUCCUCCAUAAUUUGUUUGUUUCUUUGGAUAAAUGCAAUAUAUAUUGUAGAAUUUUUUUUUAUUCUUUACUUUUCUUUUCCUUUAGAUGUUAAUAAAAAGGGCAUAUGUAGAGCUCUCCAUGUAGUGGAUCCUGCAAACGAUUGUUCCAUAUAGCAACCCUGUUGUUGCUUCUAAUGGAACAAUCGACUUUGUUUUAAUAAUUCGUGGAGUGUGUGAUUACGACACUAAAAUCAGGAAUGCUCAACCCGUAAGUUAUCAAGCUGCAAUUGUGUACAAUGAUGGAGUAAACGGCCAAAUGAAUUCACGUAUAUAAUAAAAAAAAUACUUCAAAAUUAUUUAAAAAUUUUAGAUUAUUAAUUUCUUUAUGUAAAUCCUAAUUUUUUUUUUGUGUAUAAUUAGUGUACAUAAAUCUAGAGGGCGUAAACAUACAAGCCGCGUAUGUUUUGUUCGAUGCCGGUCAAUAUCUAAAAGAACAUGCGCGGGGGGACGCUGGUGAAUGUUGUUUAUUUCCUCCAUCAAAAUCUUCUAUACAUUACUAUUGGCUACUAGUGGUGGUGCUGUCACCUAUAGUGUGAGUAGCAUCAUCCACUAUUUGUGCAUGUAUAGAAGGUCAUAUUCUUGGAACCAAUUCACCCAGUCCUGAGAUGAUGUCUAGUGAAUGCAUGGCCUAGCUUUGUGUUCACUUCUGAAACUUCGAACCAAUAUGUGGGGACUCGAUGUGUACCAUUUGCUCUUAAAGAUUAUCAGGAGGGGGAAAAUCUCAAAGUACUUCCCUGCACACACGGUAAAAAAUUUUACAUCGUCAUGCUCUCGAGUCUUUGAGAUUUUACCGUGUGUGCAGGGAAGUACUUUGAGAUUUUUCUCUCUCCUGAUAAUCUUCAAAAGCAAAUGGCACACAUCGAGCCUCCAAUAUAUUGAUUCGGAGAUUCAUAAGUGAACACAAAGCUAGGCCAUGCGUUCACUAGACUUCUUCUUUGUUGCUGUUGACUCUGCUCUUGCAUCAUCGCAGAACUGGAUGGAUUGGUUCCGAGAAUAUGACCCUCCAUACAUGCACAAAUAGUGGAUGAUGCUACCCACACUAAAGGUAGCAGCACCACCACUAGUAGCCAAUACUAAGGUAUAGAAGAUUCUGAUGGAGGAAAUAAACAAUAUUCCCCAGCUUCCCCUUGCGCAAGCUCUUUUAGAUAUUGACCGGCACCGAACAAAACAUACGCAGCUUGUCUGUUUACGCACUCUAGAUUUAUGUACGAUAAUUAUACAUAAAAAAAAUUAAGAUUUACACAAAGAAAUUAAUAAUUUAAAAUUUUUAAAUAAUUUUAAAGGAUUUUUAUAUUAUAUACGUGAAUUCAUUUGGCCAUUUACUCCAUCAUCGUACACAAUUGCAGCUUGAUAACUUACGGGUUGAGCAUUCCGGAUUUUAGUGUUGUAAUCACAUACGCCACGAAUUAUUAAAACAAAGUUGAUUAUUCCAUUAGAAGCAACAACCCUGGUUGUUAUAUGGAACAACCGUUUGCAGGAUUCGCUACAUGGAGAGCUUUACAUAUGUCCUUUUUAUUAACAUCUAAAGGAAAAGAAAAGUAAGGAACAAAAAAAAAUUCUACAAUAUAUAUUACAUUUUUCCAAAGAAACAAAUAAAUUAUGGAGGAGCUAAAACCAAAAUUUUACCGUAAGUAGCAGGAAUGUCGGGAAAGUGCACAGAUGAAGAUUUCUAAAUAACCGAUGCAUACGUUAGUGAAAAAAGAAAGUAGAGGUAGAUAACGAAGAUGACAAAGUGGCCCAUCUUGUUAACAUAUAUGUUUCCAUAAUAUUGAUUUUGAUGAUAACAAAUAAGAUUAAGAAUGAUUAAUCUUUUAAGCUCAAAUUAUUUAAUAUUCUUUUUAAAUAAAUCAUUAUUUUCACAUUAUAAAUGUUUUAUAUUUAAUGGAAAAAUUAUUUUAUGAAAUUGAUUGUUUUUAUUCUUUUUAAAUAAAUCAUUAUUUUCACAUUAUAAAUGUUUCAUAUUUAAUGGAAAAAUGAUUUUAUGAAAUUGGUUGUUUUUCAAAGUUUAUGGUUUAAUUGAAAGAAUUUUGAAAACUUUGAAAUAAACAUGUAUUGCUUGAAAUUUUGGUAAAGGACUUAUUUGAAAAGUGUCAUAGCAUUUUGGGCUAUACCAUAAUUUCAGAAAGUUUUGGGAUUAACAAAGCAUUACUUAGAAAUUCUGAAAUUGGACCUAUGUGCAAAGUUUUAUAACUUUUUGGGCCGUAAUAUAGUUUUAUAAAACUUUGGGGUCAAACUGUAAAUUUAGAAAAUAUUUUCACUGUAGCAAUCACUGUAGCAAACGGCUAACCGUUUAUUUAAAACGGCUAACCGAUAAUUUUCAGAAAGCAUGUUCUGCAAAGUAGUGUUAAAAUGAUGAUUCUGGAAACUAACGGUGAACCGUUUACUGAAAACGGUUAACCGAUUAUUUCCAGAUUGCUAACCUUGAACCGUUUAGUAAGAACGGUUAAACCAAAUUUGUUUUGCAGGUCUCUGGAAAUUAACGGCGAAAGGGUAAUCCUAAACGGCUAACCGUUUAUUUGAAAAUUGGUCCAACGGUAACUUUGACCGGCCUAAACGGUUAACCGUUAAUGGUUAACGGCGAACCGUUUUCGAGCAGACAGUCUAUAACGGCUAGUUUUUCAGCUCCAACUAUAAAUAAGCUCAAUCCAAUUCAAACAAGAAGGUUUUCCAACGAUCAUCAUUGAGCAAAAUAUUGAGAAUACAACUUUCAUUGAGCUUUAAAUCCUUGUAUUCAUCUCAUUCAUUCACACAUUGAGCUUUCAUUUGUGAUCAAACACAUUGUGUGAGAGAGAUUCAUUUGUAAUCUUUUUUGUAAAAUCAAGUUAAAAGAUUGUAAGUGUUGGGAUACACUUGGGUUAAGAGAUUGGGGAUAAUCUCUUGUUGUAAAGGUCCAUUGACACCUUGGAAGUCAAUUGUAAGCGUUUGAAGCCUUGGGAGGCUAGCUUAGUGAAAUCCUCAAGCCCGGUGAGCUUGGAGGCGUGGACGUAGGCGGGGAUUGCCGAACCACGUAAAAAUCAUUGUGUUUGUUUUCUCUUCCCUUACUCUUUUAAUAUUGUGCAUGAUUGAAUUUAUUGUUUUCAAUUUGAUUAAGGCAAUAGAUUAAAUUGUUGUGUGGUUUGCUUAGCUUAAUUUUUAAAAUCCCAAUUCACCCGCCUCUUGGGUUGCCUAGUUAGUAUUUCACAUCUUUCUCUCUUCGCUUAUUCUUAUUGUUGAGCAAAAGUACACAUGAACUUAGGAAACAUGCUCUCCGUGCAUACAUAAUUAAGACAAGACAAUUUAAUAAUUUCCCAAAAAAUGAAGAUAUUUGAAUCCAACAAAUGAUCAAAAUAUUUUUCACACUCAUUUUUAAAAAAUAUUUCUAGUACUUAAUUUAUUAAUUGUAAGAUGAAUACAAACACCUGCUCCAAACGGCAGCGUUUUUCUCAGUUGAUAAAAGGCUUAAUACUCACGACAUUUUGUGUAAGCGUUUUGGAGUAUCUUGGCUUUAAUAGAUCACGCGAGCAAUCACGUGAGCAUCAAUGAAGCCAUGUUCGUUAUAACAGAAUCCUUGCAUACGUGGCAUGAAGUUGUGCAUUUUGGGUUGUUAAAGUCGUUGAGAAACUGGUUUAUAAGCUGGUGGCUUUCACAGAAGCAACAACAACGUAAGAGAGAGAUUUGAGGGAAAUUGUAGAGAGAAAGUGAAUACUUGUUCUUUGUUCUCGAACUCUCUGUAACAAGCUUCUUGAAUCUUUCAAUAAAGCCUGCUGAUGAAUACACCCGUGGAUGUAAGCCAUUAAUGGCUGAACCACGUUAAGAGCUCUGUGUUCUAUUGUUUGUUCUCAGUUUUCUAAUUUGGCUAACAAUCCUUUGCAUUGAGUCAAGUCAGGUUUAGUUGAUUCUCUAAAAUCAGUCUAAUCUGUCGAAUGCAACUUGGUUGAUCUGGGUAAAGGGUCCUGGGAGGAUCUAGUUCUGAUGUGUUAAUUGAACGAAUCACAUUCUACAUAAUUUAAAUACCCGUAUCUUAUUUGAAGGGGAGAAAGUUAACCCAAGUAUUUCAACUGCAAAAGCCCAAGCAGUAACGGAAGCCUUUCAAAAGGUAAAGCAUGUGGAGAAAACUCAAGCUGAAAAGCCGAAAGACAAGAGGAAACAGCAAUGGACUCCCCCCCCCUCCCAACAAAACAAAAAUAGAAGCUUUAAAGUAAAUUGCUCACUCCCAUUCACAACAUUUUUCAUUAAUUUAAUAAAAGAAACAUAAAAUAAUCUAAAAAAUAAAGGUGCAUUUUGUAUUGUUUUAUUGUUUUUGAAUUUCGUUUAGAAAAUAAGAAGGAUUAAUUUUUAGUGAAAAUGAAAAUAUGUUUGGUAGUUUAUCUAGAAAAUAUAAGUAGUGAAAAUGUGUUUUGAUAUAAUUUUUAUAAAAAUUAUUUUAGAAUAGUUAAACUAUAUGUAUAACAUUUUAGAUUUAUCUUUUUGUUAUUUUAUAUAUUUUUGCAAAAAUUGAAUAAACAAGUAAAAUAAUGUCAGAAUUAAUAUUGAUAUCAAAUUAUGAGUAGUUUUAUUUUUUAUAUUAUUUCAAAGUUUUGUUAAAUAAAAUAUUCUACAAUAAUUUAUAGAAUAUCCAUGAUUAUUUCAACAAAAAUUAAUUAUUAUUUUAUUUAUUGCAUAAACAUAAUAAAAUCUACCAUGUAUUUAUCAUGGCAAGUCUCAUGUUUGUAUUUAAUAUUUUUGAGCCCACAAUUUUUUUUUCACAGAAAAAGAUUACAGAACUCACAAAAGUAUGGUCCCCAUACGGGCAUACAUGUAAUGUAUACAAGAUAGAAAACAAAAUUCAGAUAACGCUAAUAAUGUGUUUUCUACAUUUGUUAAGAAAAGUUAAAGAAUUGAAAUAUUCUAUUCUCGACAAUGUCUUAUUAUCGCUAUGAAACACUCCUACCAAACGCAUUUUCUAUUUAAUUAUUUUUAUAAAAUAAAAAAUAUUCAAUAAAAAAUGAUAGCAAACAUAUCCUAAAUUUCAAGGUCAUGGGACAUCCAAAUUAACAAAUUCAAAACGCCAUGGAGCAGUUGCAAAGUGUUGCUUUACUAGCAUGCUAGCAAGGUUAAUGAGUAAACAAAAUCACAAUAAGCUAAAGUCCUCUAUUCUUAUCGUCUAAUAAUCUCAAAAAGAGGGUAAGUGAUUGGAUGAAUGAGCCCUAACUUGUCAAUAAUAUAAAUAAAGCCCCUGAAACUCAAUACUUACAUAUUGCAUGGUAACCUUAUUCCCUAUUGAUAAGAAUGAAGUAAUAUUGAUAGAAUAUUCAACACAAUCAAUUAAUAAUUCAUUGUUUUCGUCUGAAUUAGUGAUUAAGAAAAGCUGAUUGUUAAUUAGCAUAAAGAUUGACUGACUCAAUCUUUAUUAAUCACUUAAUCUAUCAUUAUUCACUCAUAUCAGUUUUAUCAUUUUUUUUUCAUGUUUUAAAUGCUUAUAUAAAUUGAGUCUUUGUACUCGUCAAAUAACAAGAGUGAAAUUUAUAUUGUUUUUAAAAGGUUAUAUCCUUAAAGGAGAUGGGUGCUACAUUUAAAAUAACAUACUCAAUUUGAAAAUUAACUAUAUAAAUUUUCAAUCUUCAGGAGGAAAGUAAACAAAUAUUAAUUUUCAAUUUUCAGAAUAUGGGGCAUGAAAAAACUCAAUAGCACAGAACACUACUUCAGCCUAAGAAAUUAGGAAUUAAAAUAAUUUAAGAAGAUGCUUGUUUAAGACAAUUGCAGGUCCUAUAAAGUGGCUUAGAAACUCUCGCGCGCCAUGUGAAUAUCUGGCACAUGAAUAUGCGACCGAUCAAGCACAGAUAAUGACAUAAUGGAAACAAACUAAGGCUCCAUUACAGAAUGAGAAAAGGUCUAUGAUUUGUAGAAAGUUGGAUUAGCAAAGCGCUUGAUACCAUCAUUCAACUAAUUUUAUGGCCUGACCAUCAGUGAUACAAUGAAACAAAUACUUUCUAUAAAGUCAUAAGUUUCUGGAUAAAGCUAAAUGGUUUGAAAGGUUUGAAAUAUACUUGAAAGCAGGCAAACUGUCGACAAUUAUGCUUUUAGACUCAAAAUACAGAAAGAAAUUUGGUAAAGGAGAAACAAACGGUACAGAGAAUGAACAGUUGAAACACUCAAACACCAGUCAUCAGUAAGAUAGAGAUGGACGGGAAAAGGAGUACCUUAAUGAUACACAUGCGGCUGCCAAUUCCGGCUUGGGCACUUCAUAGGGUAUCGCCUGUUGUAGUUUGAUAGACCGCUUGUGGCAUACAAUAGUUUACCCAUCAGCUUCAUCAUUCUCUCCCCUUCUUAAGGGAUCAGUUCUGUAAGUCACUCUCAAUCCAGCAGCAGAGUAGGAACCUGAGGCCAUGUCUUCUCUCCUUGGAGGUGGCAGAUAUGGGUCCAAAGAUGAAGCACCAUAAUAGCUUGUAGGAAUCGAAGGCUGUAGCUACAGGGGAAAACUCUGAAUAGCUGUUCAUGUCUGGAACCCACAUAAUAAGUCUGAUAAUCUCUCUCAGCCAAGUACAGAGGAUCAGCAGGAGCAAGUCCCUUGGAUAGAGUGAUGGUGUCACCAUAUAUGGAAUAUGGGUAUCUUAGAAGGUGUUGUUGCCCUCUUUCAUGGCCUCUCUGGUACCUGUCUAAAGAAGCAUCAGUGUGAAUUAGCAGCCAGGCUCUUCCUCUCUCUCUAAAGACCAGAAGCACGAUACUCUUUUCCAGUAAUGUAUAUAUCAAGGGGAACUUCCUCUCUUAGUGCAGAUCCUUUAAAUAUACAAUACAUGAUUGCCCUUUCAGGAGAAAUUCGAUUACAUCUCCUAGAACUAGCAUUAGAAUAUGGAUCUCUAGCAAAUAUUUCCCGGUUUGACUCUCUUACAAGUGCAUAAACUUCCCUAUUUUAAGCUCUUGGCAGGGAAGCAGUGAGAAUAGGUAAUGCAGUUGCAUGGGCUGCAACAGGUCGGAAAAGUUCUGAGAGCUUCCUAACCUGAAAAGAAAAGUUUAAAAUAUCAUAAAUUCAUGGAAGAAGCUUGAAAUAUUAUGAAUUCAAGGAUAUAAGAUGAAAUGGUCACCAAACCACUGAAGGAAAUACAAAAUUUCUACCUGUCUGGGAGUAAGCUCAAUUUUGAACUUGUGUUUUUCAUCAUAAUUUUUCUUAAUAGCCUUAUUGAAUACGCUUUCAGGGAGAAGAAGACAAUCCCCGUGGACAUUAAACGGAUCAAAAGUUGUCAGCACAAAGAUGUGGCUAAAUUUAUUAAAGAAGUGAUAAACAACUAUAGAACUUAACCUGAGCAAUAAAGGCCAUGGCACAAGCUUUCGGCUCAAAAGAGGAUGCCUUGUAAAUCCCAUACAUAAGCUUGAGAUCAAAAUCAUAGAGAAAAGUAUAUCAAAAAAAUAUACAAAAAAAUCAUUACGAAAAGGCUUAAGCCCAGGUUUGAUAGCCAGCAGAAGAUAUUUCAUUUGAGCAUACGAAUAUAUUUGUCACUUUAUUAACAAAGUAAGUAAGUGACAAUGAGUGUAGUUGAAGCAUGGAAAUUGUGUCAAAAACAAAAAGAAAUAUGAACCACGACCACCUUUUCUAUGAAAAAUCUUCUGGGUUCCCCAUCUCCAAAUCAACACAAAACCAGAUCUCAAAAUUUUCAAGAACAGCAACGUGAAUUUUCAGUCAAUAAGCCAAGAUGAGAAAUUUAUGACUCUUCUUCAACUCUCUCUUAAUUAAAAGAGACCACUCUACUGUAUAGAGAGAGAGAGACAGAGAAAAAGAAUGUUAUAUGUAGUUUUCUUUGCUUUUGUAAUAAUUUUGCAGUUAUUACUGCAAGGAGAAGAUAACCACCGAAGGAGUUUCCACGAAAAAACUAGACAUUAAUCACAUUUUGUUUGGUUAGUGCCCGAAAUUCUGAACCCAGAAAGUAAAAUAUUAAAAUUAUAUAACAAUAAUUUUAUUAUUAUUAUAUUCUUAUUCAUUAAUAGAAUAUUGUAACUUUAAAUCUAGCUGCAGCAAUACCGUAAUGGAAUCAAAGAGAGCAGAAAAUUUCUUGUAAAAUUAAUUAAUCAAUAAUUUGAGCUUCUUUAGUUCUUUUCCUCAAAACGCAGCAUUUAAUUUGUUGGUUGUCCUACCAUUCAAUUCAAUAAUUCAAUGGACCACGUCGCACGCUGCAAUUUGCUUUAUAAAGCAAGAGAUGAAUUUGAUGAUCAACUCUCACAGCUGGCUAUUAGCCUAGAAAUAUGCUCUGCUAUUUUUCUUUAUUUUUUGGUGGCUUCUGCAGGCUGUCUCCAACUCAAAAACUUUCAUUACUUAUGCAAAAGGAGAAAAAAAAAAAAAAAAGCCAUAUUAAUUUGUUUCCGAUUUUCAUGAUAUGGUCUUAAUAUAGAAAAUCUGAGAUUAUUUGCCCAUGACAAUUUGCCCCAUUCACAAUUUUUUUUAUUAAAUUAAUAAAAGAAACACAAAAUAAUCUCAAAAAUAAAGGUGUGUUUGGUAUCGUUUCGUUGUUUUUGAAUUUUGUUUAGAAAAUAAGAAGGAUUAGUUUUUUGGUAAAAAUGAAAAUGUAUUUGGAAGUUUAUCUGAAAAAUAUAAAUAGUGAAAAUGUGUUUUAAUAUAAUUUUUAUAAAAAAAUAUUUUAGAAUAGUUAAAUUAUAUUUAUAAAUUUUAGAUUUAUCUUUUCAUUAUUUUAUAUAUUUUUGCAAAAAUUGAAUAAACAAAUAAAAUAAUGUAAUAAUAAUUAUUGGUAUCAAAUUAUGACUAGUUUUAUUUUUUAUAUUAUUUCAAAUGUUUUAUUAAAUAAAAUAUUAUAUACUAAUUUAUAUAAUAUCCAUGAUUAUUUCAACAAAAAUUAAUUAUUAUUUUAUUUAUGCAUAAACAUAACAAAAUCUACCGUGUAUUUAUCAUGUAAGUUCCAUGUUUGUAUUUAAUACUUUUGGGCCCACAAUUUUUUUUCACAGAAAAAGAUUACAAAAGUCACAAAAGUAUGGUCCCCAUACAUUUAAUGUAUACAAGAUAUAAAACAAAAUUCAGAUAACGCUAAUAAUGUGUUUUCUACAUUUGUUAAGAAAAGUUAAAGAAUGAAAAUAUUUCAUUCUCGACAAUUUCUUAUUAUCACUAUGAAACACUCCUACCAAACGCUUUUUUUUUAAUUAUUUUUAUAAAAUAAAAAAUGUUAAAUAAAAAAUGGUACCAAACACAUCUUAAAUUUCAAGGUCAUGAGACAUCCAAAUUAACAAAUUCAAAAUGCCAUGGAACAGUUGCAAAGUGUUGCUUUACUAGCAUGCUAGCAAGGCUAAUGAGUAAACAAAAUCACAAUAAGCAAAAGUGAUUCAAUUGAAUUCUCUAUUCUUAUCCUCCAAUGAUCUCAAAAAGAGAGUAAGUGAUAGGAUGAAUGAAUCUUAACUUAUCAAUUAUAUAAAAUAAAGCCCUUGAAGCUCAAUACUUACAUAUUGCAUAGUAACCUUAUUCCCUAUUGAUAAGAAUGAAGUAAUAUUGAUAGAAUAUUCAAAACAAUCAAUUAAUAUUGAUUUUUUCUGUCUCAAUUAGUGAUUAAGAAAAGUUGAUUGUUAAUUAGCAUAAAGAUUGACCGACUCAAUCUUUGUUAAUCUAUCAUUAUUCGCUCAUAUCAAUUGUAUUAUUUUCUUUUUCAUGUUUUAAAUGCUUAUAUAAAUGGAGUCUUUGUGUUCAUGAAUUAACAAGAGUGAAGUUUAUAUUGUUUUUAAAAAGUUCUCACCUAUAGUAAUAUGGUGGGUUCUGUGUACAAGAGAAAGGAAUUAUACUUGUAGCACUGUUUAGCCCAUUAGAAGGUGCAGUGGUAGAAAUCCUCAAAAUCUUUUUUUUUUUUAAAAACAUUUGAUAUUACAAUUUCUAUAACUUUUUCCAAUUGCCAAGUUACUAAUUGCAUCAUAGUGCAAGGAGGGAUAUCUGUGUGCUUGUUAUUGCCCUAUUUGUGGGGAAAAAUUGAAAGAAAAGAUAAAAUAAAUUAUAAGAGUCGACAAUCGAACAACCACUGCCUCAGGGUGAGGCCCAGCAGCAGAAACUGUAGCUGAAUAUGUAGGGGAGAAAUAGGCAAUGGAAUGCCGCAUUAUUAUAUUGGUUUACCUAAACAAAGAAACGAUACUCAAACGUCAAAGUGGCUGCAGCACCGUAAUGGAAUCAAUGAGAGAAUAAGUAACAGGGUCGUUUAGGCUUAGCUUCUUUUUUUUGAAAAUUUCUUUUAUUUUUCCCUUCUUUGUUAAAAAUUCUUUUAUUUUUCCUUCUACCAAUCAAUUAGGCUAGGUUUCCUUUUCUUGCAAACUAAUUAAAUAAUUCGAUGUAACAAUUAGUACCAAGUUUAAUUGGUGAUGGGCAUAAUAUAUUAACAUAUUUCCUCUCUAUUUUUAUAUUAGUUAGUCUCUUUUAUUUAUAUUUUUAGAUGGUUAAUUUAUUUUAUUGAAGAUUAUGGAAUAAAUUGUGCUUAAAGAAAUCAAAUUGGAGAAAAGCCAAAUAUUAUUUUGAUUUAUUAUUAAUGGGCUCAUGGCUAAAUGAAAUUAAAUUUAUUGGACUUAAUUGUUAUAUUUAUAAGUAGACAUAAAUUGAUUUCGAUUUGUCUUUUUAAAAUUAGGAAUUGAUUAAUAAUUAAAUAAUUGUUAAGUUGAAUUGUGUGGUAGAUUCUUAAAUACUGGUAGCCUUAAUCUCUUGAAUUCUUAAUUUGCUUGCAUAUUUACUUGUAUCUUUAGUUCUAAUUUUCUUAAACAAAAUAUUUUCUUUCUAUGUAAAGGUAUAAUUAACUUAUAUUAAAUUUUACUUUCCUAAAAAUUAACAGUUCUUAUAGGUAUGACUUCAUUAUUCUUAAUAUAUACUUCACUUGACUUAUGCAUUUACAAAUACAUUAAAAUUUGCACAAAAUUUGACUAUGUGCAUUUCUCAGGUGACAAGAAUACACACACACACACAUUUAUAAACUGCCUGCAAACCCAUGUACCUUAAAAUGAACAUUUACAUUUCUUAAAAUGAACAUUUACAAACUGUUUAUGAAACUAAGAAAUUUGCACCCAUACAUUGUCUAAAUUUAAUGUUUUUGGCAACAUACCUUCUGCUCCAACUCAAUUUACUUGCAAUCUGAUAUCCCAAAAAAAAAAUUCAUAAGUUUCCGUUAUAUAAAUAAUUACAUUACAUGGCAAAUAUUUGAAAAAUGAAAAUCAAAAGAUUAAACAGAGAAAAUAAGAAAAUUUCAGUAUCUGAUGUAAAUUAACAUAUAAACACCAAAAAAGCAAAUAAAAAAGAGAUUUAAGUUUCAGAAACUCGUAAUAAAAUAUAAAAUGGAGGAAUCAUGUACCUGAGGCUAGAGGAUAAACGAAUGAUGGUUUUUGAGGAUAUGUAGAGAUUGUUUUCUAAAUAGGACAGAAUCUUAAUUCUUAUGGCUUCAAGAGGAGGUAUGUUCUUAAAAAUAAAUACUCACAUGUCAUAAUAUCAUUUAUUUAUUAUAUAGUUGACAUAUGAUCUUAGAGUUACUUUAAAAUUCCUUAAGGAGAUAGAUACAACAUGAAUCUUUCUCCUAUAAGAUAGGGAUUAUCCCCCUCGAAGAUUAUCAUUGACUAUAGGAGACAAAUCCCUUGAUUUUAGCCUUUUAGUGUGACUGUGAUUAUUUAAUUAUCUCCACAUGCCACAUUAGUUUGAAAUUAUCUACAUAUGCUUAACCCAUAUAAUUAUUAAAAUAUCCUCAGUUAAAUUAGGUUGAUACAUGAAUUGUAUGACUCAUUGUUGUGUAACGAGUAGUAAAUUCUAUGUAUCGUGUAUUUUGUUGCACUACUCAUGCCAAAACAAUUUUGUGAGAGUAGUGAUAUUUGAUCCCAUGUAUUUAUUUCAUGUCCUUAGUUUUCAAUUACUCAUUUAUUUCCGAAUUUACCAUUAUUAAAAAAUAAAAAUAACAAAAAGUUCUUUUAUUCUAUGAUUUAUCUCUCUCUCAGUCUCUUGAAUUAUCAAUUUCUGAAAAUUGAGCGAAAAUUGAAUUGAAGUUGAAAUUUUUUAUCAGAGGAAGGGAAUUAAUAUUAAAACAUUUUUAACAAGAAAAGGACCAUUAUAAAUAACUAGUUAGCGUGUUCAUAUGCAUGCGUGUAUGAAAUAAAAACUCACAAUUAGAAAAUUAAAAACUUAUAGGAGGUCAAGAAAAUCUAUACUUCUAAUACUAAAGGUAUUAACAAUAAGUUCUUGCUUGAAACAUGUCCCAAAUUUAAUGGCAUUCUUGAUAUUAAACUAGAACCAUCAAAGAUAAAAGUUUAGAAGCUAUAUAUUUACUCAACCCACCAACUUAAUCAGGGGUGGCUUUAAGCAUAGGCGAACAAAGCGAUUACCUAAGGCCCUAUAUUUUUUGAAUGCCUCAUUUUUUUUUAGUAUUUCUUAAUAGUUAUUUAAUUAAUAAUCAUCUUUUUAAAAAAAAUUAUGUAUUGUAGAAAAGCCUAUUAGACAUCUUUAUAAUUAACAGUUAAAUCACAACUAAGAAUUAUUAUUUUUAACAGAAAAUCAGUAUUUGGUAACCUUAAUGUUCAAGAGAUAUAAUUAAUAAAAUUGUUUAGCCAUUAAUUCAUUCAUUAUUAGUUUUUCAAAAAAAAAAUAAAUUUUUUACCUUUUAAGUUUCCUAAAAAAUUAAAUUCUUUGACUUUUAAUAUUCCUUUUAAUUUCCAUUAAAACCUUGUAAUAUAAAAAAUCAAUAAAUAAAUAGAUUUCUUGCUCUCUUUUUUUUACGAAGAGAAUUAUUACAUUCAUUGAUUCAUUUAAAAAAGAAAAAAUUAGUUUCUUAAAAUACAAUGUGCAUAUCUAUUAUUUGAUAAUCAAUUCAUCAUCUCAACUUUCUACUAUUCUAAAUAUUCUAUUUGAAAAUAAUAUUGUUUUUAUGUAUUUGUUUUUUUAUUUUUGUAAUAAUUUUAAUGGAAGUAAAAAAGAUAUCUUCUUGGUUUUUUUUUAGGUUUGGUUUUUGAAAAUUUUUAAGAUAUUUUUUAUUACUAUUAAAAUUCAAGAGUUAAAAGUCGAAUGAAUUUUUUAGUCUUAUAUUUCUUUAAGUAUUAAAAUUGUAAAAUAAAAAAAGGCCCCACAAAAAAUUUUUGCCUAAAGCCCCAUAUACUCUAAAGCCAACCCUGAACUCAAUCAUAGAUCACGAGCCAUACCCUUAUUUUCUGUUUUCAUGUUGUAAAAUCUGUACUUCUAAUAAUUUUUAACAGCGCAUGUAUUAAGCGCGUUGCCAAAAAGUGGAUUUCACAACAAUCAUCUUGUGAAGGUGGCUAUAUUCUUGUUGUUAUAUCCUAUUUUUCUUUGUACUGGGGAUGAUGAACAAACCAAAUAUAAAUCAGACACGAGCAAAUAAAUUAAGUAUAAGGGACCACAAUUCUAAAACUGGAAGUGAAUUGUCGUCUCAAAUUUAAUUGCAAUGACAAAGAAUUAGGUGAAGUUGCAGAAAAAUUUUAGAAAAGUGGUAAAGAUGACAACAAAGAUUGUGAUGCUUUUAGAGUUUGCUAGCUCAAUUCUUGCUUCAUGCCAAGCCUACUUUGACCAAUACUUUAGCACAAAUGUUACAGGUUCGAUUUUCAUUCCGAACUGUAGCCUGCACAGCAUAGCUCUGACAGAGCACAUUACGUAUAUUGUGAGUUGUCACUGUUUUUAAUUUACUAUUGUGAAGUCAACUAACUGGUAGGGCCUCAUUAUAACUAAUGCUGUAAAUGGUUAUGUUUGCGGCUGAUUUUGGGUCAAUGAAUAAAAAACCACAAAACCAACCCAAGAGCAAUAAAUUUAUAUUUUUGUCGGAGAGCGGGGUACCUCGCUUGUUCGGCACGUGCGGGCUGUUUAGGCUUUUUGUGGAGUGAAUGAGGAUUGAGAUGACGGUGGAUAUGGAGGGGGUCUGACUUCAGGUGUGGAGGGCUGGUGAAACUCGCCUUAAACCUGCGAAACAACCAAAAAAGAGGUCAGAGGUGGAGCCGGGGGUGGCCGGCGACCACACUCCGACGCUCAAGUCAGAAUUGGGUUAUCUCAGGUUAGAGAGCUUGCAAGCUCUCGGUAAUGGAGAUUUUGAGGUUGAAGAAACCCUAGUUUUUUUGUGGUGAGUGUGUUUACUUACUUGAUAAAAAUCAAACCUGAGUAUUUAUAUGGUGUACCCCGGUCGUCGUGCCACCUGGCGCUAUUUUAGUGGCGUUCUUUGCUGUCAUGUCAGGAAUAUUCUUAUUUUCAUGCGUAUGGCGGCUUAGACGUUUCAAAAAUAUCAGUGGAGAGCAAGUUUGUGGCGUAUUCACGUGCUGGGCGUAGUGGAGUGGUCCCGCUUACCUCUGCAAUUCCGUUGUAAUUUUGCAGGUGUAGCAGGAAAAGUUGGUGGUCCCAACUGUCAUAAUAUCACACUUUUGGCGGAUUCGCUAGCGUGACAGGCGGCUGUCUCCUCUUUUGCGGCACAAGGUUUCCUUAUUUUUCGACACGUAUCAAAUGGAUCUUUUUGAGAUUCGGGGCCCACAUAUCCCUUCACAUAUUUACGAAGAUUUUUAUAUCAUUUCAUGGUGUACCCGAGGUACCCCCGGAGUCCUUAGGGUAGCCGAGGUACCUAGAGUACUCGAGAUACCCGAGGUACCCAAGGUACUCGAGAUACCCGAGGUACCCAAGGUACUCGAGACAAAUUAAUCUCUUACAUAUCGACACGUGGCGCUUCAUCAUUGGUCUCGUAUUUCCUUCCCAAACAACAUCCCCCUAGUUUCUUUGUGGCGAAUGUAAUUGAGGCACAAGAAACUCUUGGAGGAACUGUGCGUGACACGUGGCGAUAUUUAUACACUGAACUAAUGCAUGUCUUCCUGGAGGAACAUCCCCCUGGUUUUUUUUUUUUUUUAAAUACCAAUCUCACGCAAACAUCCUUGAUCUUCUUUUCGUGCAGUGUGCUCUGUCAGGUUUAAUUAAAAACUCCUUAUGUGAAUGCCAAUCUCUUGUCGUUUAUUUUGAAAAUCCCAACAUAAUCUCCCAUCAAAUUUAAUUACUUCCAGUGGCUUCUUGCUUGCUCUGGCUUUUAAAAUUCAAAAACCAGUCAAAUCAUUUCAAUCACCAGCUUCACAAUUUUUUUUGUUUUUAUAAAUCACCUUCUGCACGUUUUCAUUCCCCCUUUAUUCUCUUUCAUUUUGCCAUCCCCAAAAACUUUUUUCUCUUCUUCUCCAAUUUCCAACGCCUCCCCAUCUCCAUUUUUUCUUCUUUAUUUGUCUUUUGCUUCUUGCCCUUUCGACAUCCAUCUCCUUUUUUUUUUUUUUUUUUGUUGCUUGCUCUCGGCCCACCAUCACAGUUUCUGUCUCUUUUUGCAUUCCUCAUUUUUCUCUUUUCUUUAGCUUUUUCCAGGCAUCUUUCAUUCCCCUUUUUUUUUCUUUCUUUUUCCUUUUCUUUUUUUUUUCUUCCUUCUCGGCCGGCCUUGGCUCCCGUGAUUUCCGGUGGUGGCAUGACGACGGCGUUCGGCUGGUAGUGCAGUGAUCUCCUUGUGGUAAGCCAUCUUCUCCCCCCCAUUUUGCUUCUUCUUCGUUUCUUCCAGUGGCCCUUUUUUUUUUUUAAUCCAUGCUCCUCCUCUUUUUCCUUUUAAAUCACCCUGACUGUUUCUUUUUUUUUUUUUUUUGACUUCCUCUUUUUUUUUUUUAUCUCCAGGCUCCCCCUAUUUUUUUUAUAUCUCUAAUGGGUUUCAUUGUGUCUAUGACAGCCUCUGGACAGCUCCAUCUUUUGAGCAAUUUUUGGCGAUUUGUGACUUCUCUUAGCGAUUUAUAGUCUAAAACUUACUUGUUGGCGACUGAAAUUUGCUACUCUCGGUGAGAUCUAGGUAUAAAAUUUUUCAUACCUAUUUUUGACUUCUUUAUUUUGAAGAAUAAUGUUGUGGCUUUGUUUUUGGAUUUGUUUCUGGUUUUCAUGUAAAGUGUUGGCAUUUUUCUUUUUUGUUUAUGCUUUUAUUGGUGGAUAUUGGUGUUUGGCUUGUGAUGGAUGAGGUCUGAAGUUGUGGGGUAUAUUUUGAUGUGGAGGUUUUUUUUUUUUUUUUGUAUCUUGUGUUUUUAGGAGAACAAGAUGAGGAGAAAAACUGUUGGGAAAAAGGGUCGUAAUGUGGUCAGGGAGCAGGGGGAGACGAGUGAGGAGGCUCCCCUUUCUGAUUCAGCCCCUUAUAUAUCCUUAGUGACGACAAUGGGUCCCCUUCGCCUAGUCCCAAGUUAUCUCGAACCAAAACCAGUAAAAAAUCAAAGAUUAAAGACAAACACCCAACUAAGCCAGCCCAUAGAAAAACUCGUGCAAAGACAUCCAGACCCAAAUCUCCUGUUCCUGUCAGCAUUCCAGAACCUCCCCUGAUCUCUCCCUCUGUCUCUGUAGCUCCUAAGCUCUAUGCACUAAGGGUAGGCUGGCUACUCCGAGAGAUUUAGAAAGGGUUAGAGCCAAGUACAACAUACCUCAAUCUGUCCACCUUAGGGUACCUCGCAAGGGCGAGCGCCCCGACCACCCUCAUUCUGAUGGUGUUGCCCUUCAUAUCGACAUUUUUGACUUAAGUCUCUGUUUACCCCUUCAGCCAUUUUUUAGAAAAAUGUUCACUGAGAUGAAAAUUGCUCCCGGACAGUUAUCCUUACCCGGUUGGAGAUUGCUCACGGGUCUGGAGGUUUUGUGGCUAGAUAUUUUUGGGGAGGAUAUUUCUUAUGGAGAUCUAAGGAGGCUUUAUCAGUUGAAGAAGCCCGCUGGUUUAUCUGUAGCCUAUUUUGCUACUUGGGGGGUUCAUGGUAAUUUGGUGAGACCGGAUCCCUUGCUGAAAAAGGGCUACAUAUAUGGGUGGUUUGUGGCUGAGGGUGAGUGGGGGAAGAGCAUUCCAGCGGGAAAUAAAGUUGUGCCAGUUCGGAACUUCUUCAAUGAAGAUAGUAUGUGUUUCUUUCCUCUUCUCUCCCUUUCUAUGUAUAUAUACACCUCUUCGCAUGAAUUUUCUUCUUAUUCAUUAUUUUUUUUGGGUUUUUUAUAGACAUCCAGUUGGACCAAGGGAACGUGCCCAAUCCAUGAAGUAGGGAGGAAAGUUAAUAGUGUUAUAGAGAAGUUCCAGAUUUUACAGAGUGAGGGUGAUGUUCUGUGCACUUCCGGUUGGUGAGAGCUGGUCUGAUUAAGGAGAGUUUUCAGUCUUCUUCGGGGGGCGAUUCACGUAUGGCUAUGUGGUGUUGCUGGGGUACCCCGCCUUCAUUGGUUCUGUGGGGUGCCCCCUUUAUUUGAACAAACUUUUUUUUUUAUGCUUUGGUGGCCAUCUCUUAUUUUUUCUCAAUGUGCCUUUUUGCCAAUGACGACUCUGUUUAUUUUCCUGAUUUGUCUCUUUGUCUCAUCUCUUUUUUUUAUUGGAUAGGCAUGGACCCUUUUGGCGAAGAUUUUGACGCCUUCUUCAGUCGCAUGAGCCGGCAGCUCCUCCGUACCCUGGGUACCUCCGCAAAAGGUGACCGACCUCCCGUCGUUCCAGGCGGCAAAGGUAAAUUGCCCGUCUCCUCUCUUGGGGUUCUCGGGUACCCUGGCUACCCACAAGAGGAAGUUUGGCUCCCUUUUCACGGCUCCUGGAGACCUUAUGAGGGCGAGCUGGAUCCGGUGGCUAACAAGCGGAUAUCGCACUUGACUGAUUGCUUCCUUCAUUCCUCCGAGAGUAUUUCCACAGACAUGCAAUAGAGGCAGAUAAUUAGAUUUAAAUGAGCGCUAUAGCCGAGCGCUCAAAGCUUGUCAUGACGUGAGUGCCUCUCACUCUUUUCCUUUCAUUCUUUCUCUUUCUCUUUUUUUUUUUUCGUCCUAACUCCCUCUCCUUUUCUUUAUUAUUAUUUGUGUAGGCGGCUUUCUACCUUAGCCACGGUCUCCGAGACCUUAGUGGCAUCUCGGCUGCACAAACCAAGGUAGAGAGGCUGCGAGGUGAGGUUAGGCUCGGCCAGUCUCGAGAAGAGAAGUUAGGAGAGGAGGUCAGGGCUUUGCAAAAGGCGCUUGGACGACCACGCCCGGGAGAAUAGCCGAUUGUCUAGGAAGUUGGAAGAGGCGGAGUCUAAGCAUGGCGAGCUACUAUCUCGCCAACCGGAGAUGAUGGACAAGGCCUUUACUCUUAUCAUGACUGAGGUCUGGAGCAUCGAGCCUGAGCUGGUGGUAUCCCGGGUGGAGAAAUGGGUGGAUAAGUCGGCCAUCCUUAAAGCGAUAGAGGACAAGAGGGCUACCCAGGCUCCCCCAUCUCACAGCCCACAGUGAUCUUCUGAGGUACCCCAGGCGGAUCUCCCUUCGUUAGCGCUGUUCAUGCGGGUAGCCGCUCUUUGGCUGCGAGUGUUCCUGUUGAUACCCCCGUUGAGGGGAACGGUGGAAGAGGAUGUCCCCCAUCUGCUUGAUCUUACUUGUUAUUCAGAACUUUAUCUGAGAUGUCUUAGCAGCUUUCUUUCUUUGCUUCUGUACUUUUUGUAGUAUGGUAUUAUCAUUUUGAUGUGUUGGGGAUACUUGUCUUUGAAGGUUGCCUCGGCAAUCUUGCCUACUCGUUCGCAUUAACUUCUGCAAUAUACUUUAUUUGGAGUGCCAUUGAAUUCCUUGCUUAUGAUUGAUUUGCGUAGCCUUGCAGGGGUUCCUCGGGUGCCCCAGGUACCCCCCCUGAUGUAUUUUUGGCGCUUGCGUGGUGAUUUCCGUAGAUGUGCUCACUGCUCGUCUUAAUAAAGAUUAUGGUGUAUCUCAAAAUAAUUUAAUAAUUCGCACAUCAUCAUAAGAUAAAACGAAAUUCAUAUUUGGCGCAACUAGGAUAAAAUAAAGAUUAUGGCGCAUCUCAAAUAGACUUGUGGAGUUUCUUGGGUACCCCGGGUACCUUUUUUUUUUUUUUUUUUUUUUUCGGGACCUUCUUGGCCCCCCUCUUGCAGAAAUGGUCAAAAACAUGCUUGUUUUGCCAUUUGCUUCUAGUCAAUAUUUAAUAAAAUAAUGCGAAUAGAGGGGCAUGCUUGCCUACCUCGUUUCGUUUAUCUAUUCUUUACUUGGCUCAAGUAAAAGAAUGGAGGUGUGGGCGUGUGCAUACCUUAACGGAACCUCAUGGCGCUAGGGUAUGUUGGUUUACCUCGCCCUUGGGCCUUCUCUGACCCUCCUUCUUUAAUUUUGUUGUAUUAGUUUUUAUUGGCGUUGACCUCGAACAGAUCUUCACGAUCGAAUCGAAUCAGAUACCUCAGGUUCUCCUGAUUAUCUUGAAAUGGAGCAAUUAUAGCUGAAUAAGACAUGGCGUAAUAAGAGAGAGUCACAUUAAUGGCGAAAAUUUAACCAUAAUCACAUUCGGUAAUCAAAAGGAGAACAUUACAUAAGACUGACUCAUUGUCCUAAUGAGAAUAGGAAACCGUAUAGAUAUCCACUCUCUAGGACUUAGGAAUUAAAAAUUUCACUUGCACAUGUGGGGUACCCUAAGUACCUUUCAUGGCUUUACCAUAUUGCACACAUAGUAAAGAAAAUAAGAAAUAGAUAAGUGAACGAUAAGGUUUAAGACACUGUCCUCAUGUUAGUAGUACUUCCUCAGCAUUGCGGCAUUCCAGGGAUGCUUGACGAUUGUUUCAUCCAUGUGGAGUAGUCUGUAUGCCCCCGAACCUACUGGCUUGUCUAUGCGAUAUGGGCCUUCCCAAUUGGCUCCGAAAGAGCCCUCCGAGGGUACCUGGGUAUUCUGAGUUACCCUUCGUAGGACUAAAUCCCCUUUCUUGAAUGAUCUGGGGCGUACCCUCUUGUCGUAUAAAUCUGAAACGCGGCUGGUAUAUUGCAACCUUCAAUUCUGUUUUGGCCCUUUUUUCUUCAACAAAAUCAAGAUUGGACGCAAUCAAAGAGGCAUUCUCGGCUUCAUCGAAAGUUCUGUGAGAGGGUAUCCCGAUUUCAGCUGAAUGACUGCAUCAGUCCGAAAGCCAGAGAAAAUGGGGUUUCCCAGUUGAAAUAUUUUGAGUUGUGAUAGGCCAACGCCGGGUAACUCGUCUACUUAAGCUCCCUUCCUUUCCUCCAGCCUCUUCUUUAGGAUACCCUUGAUGAUUUUGUUGAUGGCUUCCACUUGUCCAUUAGAUUGCGGGUGAGCCGAAGAAGGAAAUUGUUGGUAUCCCCGCUCCGGGCAGAAAUUCUGAAAUUUUUCGUUGUCGAAUUGCUUCCCGUUGUCGCUGACAAUUGCAUUAGGGAUACCAUAUCUGCAUAUGAGAUUCCUCCAAACAAAAUCAGUGGUUUUCUCUCCGUAAUGCUUGCCAACGGCUUCGCUUCUACCCAUUUUGUGAAAUAGUCAACGGCUACAAUUGCAUACUUAGCUUGUCCUCUACCAGUUGGUAGUGGGCCAAUGAGAUCUAUACCCCAAACAGCAAAUGGCCACGGAGAAGACAUGACAGUUAACUUUUCUGGUGGAAGGUGGGGUACCCUGGCAAAUCUCUGGCACUUGUCACAACUCUUGACCAUGUUUUUGGCAUCCUCCCGCAUCGUAAGCCAAUAAAAUCCUUGACGAAGGGUCUUCUGUGCCAAUGAUUGUGCUCCAUAGUGGUUACCGCAAAUCCUUCGUGUAUCUCUCUCAUGACAUAUUCGGCAUGUUCAUUUCCCAAGCACUUUAAGUAAGGGAGGGUAAACCCUCUUCUGAAUAAGGUAUCCUCGAUGAGACAAUAUCGAGCAGCUUUGGACUUUAGGUGGCGCCCGCAUUCUUCAAACCAAAAGGCAUAACCUUGUAGCAGUAUAACCCACGGUUGGUGAUGAAGGCCGUUUUAUCUUGAUCAGGCUCGUACAUUAGAAUUUGGUUGUACCCGGAGAAAUCAUCCAUGAAACUAAGCAUCUCGUGCCCAGCCGUAGCAUCGACCAGCUGGUCUACCCGGGGAAGCGGGAAGCUAUCCUUAGGGCAAGACUUGUUUAAAUCCGUGAAAUCUACACACAUGCGCCAUUUCCCGUUAGACUUCUUAACCAAUACAAUAUUUGAGNCCUCUCUGGUACCUGUCUAAAGAAGCAUCAGUGUGAAUUAGCAGCCAGGCUCUUCCUCUCUCUCUAAAGACCAGAAGCACGAUACUCUUUUCCAGUAAUGUAUAUAUCAAGGGGAACUUUCCUCUCUUAGUGCAGAUCCUUUAAAUAUACAAUACAUGAUUGCCCUUUAAGGAGAAAUUCCAUUACAUCUCCUAGAACUAGCAUUAGAAUAUGGAUCUCUAGCAAAUAUUUCCCGGUUUGACUCUCUUACGAGUGCAUAAACUUCCCUAUUUUAAGCUCUUGGCAGGGAAGCAGUGAGAAUAGGUAAUGCAGUUGCAUGGGCUGCAACAGGUCGGAAAAGUUCUGAGAGCUUCCUAACCUGAAAAGAAAAUUUUAAAAUAUCAUAAAUUCAUGGAAGAAGCUUGAAAUAUUAUGAAUUCAAGGAUGUAAGAUGAAAUGGUCACCAAACCACUGAAGGAAAUACAAAAUUUCUACCUGUCUGGGAAUAAGCUCAAUUUUGAACUUGUGUUUUUCAUCAUAAUUUUUCUUAAUAGCCUUAUUGAAUACGCUUUCAGGGAGAAGAAGACAAUCCCCGUGGACAUUAAACCGAUCAAAAGUUGUCAGCACAAAGAUGUGGCUAAAUUUAUUAAAGAAGUGAUAAACAACUAUAGAACUUAACCUG